CCAGCGAGGGCGUCGGCGCCGGCGACGAUCUCGAGGAUCUCCCCGGUGAUCUUGGCCUGGCGCUGGCGGUUGUAGGCGAUGGAGAGGUUCUUGCGGAGCUCGAUGGCGUUGUCGGUGGCGCUGCUCAUGGCGCUCAUCCGGGCGGCGAGCUCGCUGGCGAGCGACUCCUGCAGGGCGCGGAGGAUCUGGCUGUUGAGGUAGAGCGGGAGCAGCGCGUCGAGGAUCUGCACGGGGUCCUGCUCGAACUGCACCACGGGGGAGAAGGGCUGCGUCUCGAUCUUCACCUUCUCGCGCUCCACGGUGAGCUUCCCCUCCUUGGUGGUGAGGCGGAACAGCUCGUCCUCCGUGGCGUCCACGCACACGCCGUUGACGUCGCAGAUCUCCCCCUUGGGGGACAUGGGCAGCAGCGUCUGGAUGAUGGGGUCGGAGCGCACCAGGGACACGAACUUGGAGUAGAGCAGCUCCACCUUGUCCACCGCCUCGGAGACGAAGAGCGAGUACACCAGGUCGCAGAUGGCCUGCGAGUCCUUCACGGUGGGCACGCCGCUCACCUCCAGCUCCCGCUCCAGCGGGAUGUAGGGCGGCGCUGGAAGUAGGCGUUGCCCUUCUUCCCCACGCUGAUGACGUGUAUUCGAGGCCCAGCUGCUUGAGCUCGUCGAUGCGGGUGUCCGCCUUCUUGAGCACGUUGUUGUUGAAGCUGCCGCAGAGGCCGCGCUCGCCGGUGAGGACCACGAGGGCCACUUUCUUGACGGGGCGGGUGCGGGUGAGCGGCAGGUCGAUGUCCUCCGUCUGGAUCUCCUGGUUCAUGUUGUAGAGGACCUCCACGAGCGCCUCCGAGAAGGGGCGGGAGGAGACGACGGCCUCCUGCGCGCGCCGGACCUUGGCGGCGGCCACGAGCUUCAUGGCCUCGGUGAUCUUCUGCGUGUUGCGGACGGAGUCGAUGCGGCUGCGGAGCUCGCGGAGGGAGCACCGCACCACGAGGCCGCUGCCGCCGGAGCGCGGGGCGGAGGAGCGCCGCCGGGUGGAGGAGGCGCUGCUGGCGAGCGCCGAGGAGGACCACGCGGUGGAGAGGUGGGAGCACGACAUGGCUGGCUGGUGGUGGAUCCGCGGCGACGGGGAUCAACACCAGCGGCGGCGGUGGCGGAGGAGGGAGUGGAAGGGAGAGGGGCGGGAUGGGAGGGAGGGAAAUGGGUUUGGAUGGAUUGGGUUUGGGUGGAGACUGAGCACGGUGGGGUAUUCAAAGCCGGGGUGAGUGGUGGAGGGGCAGUGACGGCGAGAUGGCGAGGAUCAUGUGGCUCCGCCGAGCUGGCUGCCCCUCCCUGCUCCUCUCCUCCUGCUACAUUUUUGGCUUGUCAGGAAUAAAAAUCUGAAAAACAAAAAAUAAUCCUUUGUGGAAACAAACAAUGGAUACUGGGAUCCUGCUCAGGAUAUCCCACACCACAUACUCCCUACGGCCACAUUUGUAGUCAGGAAUCAAAUGGUUUCCUGUGAAAAUCCUGCAUAAUUUCUGUGUUUGUGUUUCAAACAUACUUCAAAAAAAAAAAAGCCCAAGUUUAGGCCUACCUGGAACACAUCAAUUUCAGCUCAGUUCCCGUGUUAAAAACAUGAGUCUCUCAUGAUUCAAUUUGCUGAGACAAAAUUCAAUGGUGAUUUUCUAGGAUUCUCAUUGAGUCAUUGUUGGUACUGAUGCAAAGUUCAUGGCAAAGAAGUAGUACAGUAUGUAACAAAGCAGAUGAAGCUGGUAUUUCAAGGUAAAGCAAGGUAACAGUACAAAACAGUCUGAGAGGUAGUACAAGUACAAAGAUCAGACUUGAUGGAAUGCAAACUACUCCGGAAAGUAAAUUUAACCUCAGGGUACAACAACAGCAAACAUAUUGACGAGAUCCAUAGCCUAACCGCUUCAGGGUGGAGUCGCAUUCUUUGAUGGCUUGUAGACACUGAAGUCACCGAAAUCCCGCCGUCCGCUGCACCACAGAAGAGGACAUGAAGAUAACAGUAAAUAUCCGAUGACCAAAAGGAAGUGUGGACAAAAGGCAUCAUGACACACAGAAAGAUCUUCCAAGGCCACUGGUACAGGGCAUGACACUUAGGCGGUGUUUGGUUAAGGGGGCUAAAGUUAGCCUGUCACAUCAGAUGUUUAGAUACUAAUUAGGAGUAUUAAAUAAGUCUAAUUACAAAACUAAUUGCAGAACCCCCUUAGCUGAUACCUUGGCCUAUUCUAAGCACCAGAAAGUUCAAGCAAUUAUGUAACCAAUCAGUGCGCAUAGGAAACAAGGUUUUCCAAAAACAAGCAUCCUUGCAAAAGAAAAGGCCUGUAUGAAAGGCAACUAACCUGUGGUUAAUAUUCCAGCCAGAAGGUAAGUAGCGCGGGUGAACAGCUUCAACAAAGACCUGCCUCCACCUUUGGCAGAACUGGUUAAUAGCUUCCUCCCCACCAUUGGAAAGCAAAAGCUCCACAACUUGUUUACCAUGAUGCCCAUGACCCAACAAGGAUAUCUUCUUCUCAGCAUUCUUGGAAAUGGCCUGAUUAGAAUUGUCACGGAUAGAAGGAUCCCUGUUGAGAUAGCCGUUUGCAGGAAUGCAGGCGCCACUUGCUUGCUGCUUGGUAUCUGUCUCGAAUGUCGCAGUGUCAUGACCAAAAGUUGUAUCCUCCAUACUGACUGGCAAACUUGAACCUCCCUGGCUCAAGGUUAAAUCCUCUAGCUGGUUUUCACUCUCUGUCUCAUCAAACUCUUGUUGACCAUUACUCUCAGUUCCAUCCUCAGGAAAUUGCUCAGAUAAGGCAUGACUAUUUUCUGAUCCAUGCCCACUGUUUUCUGAGAUGUUGCUGCUGCUGCUCUUUGUAAUAAUAUUUUGAGCCUGAGCUUUAAAUGAAUAACCCUUUUUCUUUUCAAGACGCCUUCGCUCAUGGGGACUCAUACCAACAAGUAAUGCCAUCUCGAGAUCUUCAGGAGUCACAUCCCUACCACCAUAGUAUGACUUUACAAUCUGCAUAGAAAUGAAUGAAUUGGUAGCAAAGAACUACAGCUAAGAACAAGUACAUAUUUAACCAGGAAAGAAUAUGGACGAGUAGUACAACAUAGGUAUGUUAACAAUGCAAUUUCACAACUCAGGAAACUGUAUGUAAGUACUAAAAGGAUGUUAAAUUGUUAAUAUGUUAUCACCUGCAUUAGCUCUUCACAUCUCUUCAAUGGCAUAGUUGAUCCAUGCCGUAGAAGAGCCAUUGCAGCAGUCCUUAGCUGCAAUGGGGAGACACCUGUUCCAUUCAAUUUAUCUUCAGAUACUGAUGUGUGGGUAAUCAAACUUAUAUCACCCGAGUUCACUAUCUUUUGCACAAAAAGGGGUAUUCCAAAUUCUUCCGCUACUCGCCUCUUGUAUUUCUCAGCUGCUGAAUGAGCAAUUUCGUGACAGUCUACACAGAGAAGUACAAUAUCAUGUGAACGAUGGCUCUUCAGAUGCUCUGGAAAAUGCAUCCUGUAGCAUGAUGGUAUUAUUCUAUAUCUAAUAUAGUGGCUCUUUUCUCCACAUCCAACACAAAUAUUUUUCUUGCUCUGAAUGUAAAACUCAUUAUCUUCAUCCUCUGGACGACCUUUAGGUUCAAAUAGAAGCAUGAUUGCUGGAGGACUAUCUUCAAUUAAUUUUGCCAAAUUACGUUGAACAUACCUGGGAUAGAAGAGCCCAUCAUUUAGACAAAAUAACUCUUCAUUGAUGCCAUAUACAUGUAUAGAUAGUUAAUGAGCGUAUAUUUAAGAUACAAACCAUUCCAGUUUUUUGCGGUCGCAAUAGCAAAGUAGUCUUCCAUCACUAGCAUAGAUCCUGCAAUUGUGAUAUACUGGGGACUUGCAGGAGAACUUUUUAAUGAAUAAAUCCCGUGAAGCCUUUUUAUUAGGCGGUGCUGUCAGCAACUUUUCUCCACUUGGAGCAAAGGAAAACAUAUUUGUUUGCUUCAAACUUAGCUCUGUUAUAAGGUUAUAAUUAUAAACUGAUAGUCGACAUAAUCCACUUGGAUCUUUAUACUUCUCUAGCAAACUUUUAAAAAUGUCAUCCAUGCUGGUAGUGGUGUUCUCCAGCAGAUAGCAAAGUUCUUCAACAUGAGCAACAACAAUAGGUGACGGUGACGACAAGGAGGGGUACAUACUAGAAAUGUUUAGGUCAGUUUCUGCUAGGACAGCAAACACCUCUGUUGGGCCUUUUGGAAGACUAACAGCAAGGGCAGCUAUAGCUUGGUCUGACAGAACAUACCGUAAGCUUUCAUCAUGCAUCCGAGCCUGGAAUGACCCAAAACCCAAGUUAUUAUGAGAUAUUAGGAAGGAAGAACAUACCACAACUACAUAACUGCAGAUAUGCAAGAUUAUCCUGGGUGGCCACAUAGAAAUACGUCACUCAGGCGAGUUGUAUAGCAAGGGGCCCAUGAAGCAAAUGCAUUUCCAGGAAAAAAAACAAAGAGUAGAACUUUCUAAGAAAAAUACUGAAGAUUGUCUGGUUUAAAUUUUUAGCAUGAUCAUGUUAGCGGCGUUUUCAAUAAUCAAUUGACAAAUUGGUUAUCGACAGAGGAGAGAAUCCAGGAGGUGGGUUUAGCAAGGUCAUCUUUUCCUUAACAGAGGAGAGAUUUCUUUGUUUGGUUGGGUGUGUGUGUGUGGCCUUUGUAAGGGGUGUCUUUACCCCCCUCUUUCAUCCUCUUAAUAUAAUAUACACAGCUCUCCUGCGUGUUCGAGAAAAAAUUAGUCAUCGACUCAUCGGACGUAGAUUGUGCAUGGACUCGAUUAGACAGCCUAGUUGACUGGUUAGCCGACUAACUGACAAUUAGUCACCAUCUGCCAAUUUUGAAAGGCCAACUUGCAGCCAGUAAUUUGGUCUUGGUAAUUUCAGCCCAGUAUAUUUGAGCCCAGUAGAAAUCAGCCUAUGUACAUAUACACAGAGAGAGAGAGAGACAUUGCAAUUCUGUUUUGACCUAUUUCUUUGUGUUCUCUACAGUUUCUAUCCCAUGCUUUGCAAGAUGCUAAUGCCCUCAGUAUAUGGUUUGCCUAAAUUUACAGUCAGCUAUAGGUAGCUAGGUAGCCGACUAGGCAGUAGGCAAACUGGGCCAAAUGGUCGACUAGCCAAUCUAGUUGUUGGCUAGUCAUGACUAGUCAGUCCCAGGCAAUUCAACUUGGCUCUUCGAUUUGAAAACAUUGCAUGUUCGGCUCGAAAUCAAAGCUAGGUAAAGAUGUUAACAAAUAAGCAACUAAAAGGAUUUACUUUGCAGAGGGGAGAGGGGGCUAUUCUAAGGAAAAUAGUUGUGUGUUGACUGACCAUUAAAUCCCUCCAUGCACAAAAUUUCCAAACAAGAUCCUGCAAAUGCAGAUGAUUAGGAAAUCAGGAACAAAAAUAUUAAAAUCACUGGUCGGCAAGCUAACCAGAAGACGUUCUACAAUCAAACAGUGAACACAGAAAACAAGCACCUUGACUUCACUAGACCUUUUGGAGUCAAGCCCAUGAGUUUGCAAAUUUCGUGUGAGAAUAGAUGCUGCACUGGAAGCUCCAGGAGGACAUUCAAUUUCUUUUGCAUAUAGUUGCAUGCUGACCAUAUUUGAGCGAUGACUAGCCUCGAAGAAAAAAUUGAUUUUAUCACUGGAAGUAUCUGAUUAGAUAUUACAGCUGAUCAAAGACUUGAGACAUGUGAUAAAAGGCCAAAUGGUACCACCGUACCAAUAUGUGAUUUGAUGUUGACAAGAAAUAAGAAAUUCUUUAGGACUAUUCAAAUCUUAUGAGGGUUGAAGUAUAAAUUUCUGCAGUUCAGUAGUAGGAUGGCAUCAGUACGACAUCACUGCCAUGCGCCUUACUUGGUCCCCUUAAUACUGCUUGCACUUCUUGACUACACAUCAGGAAUAUAUAGAGAUGACCCAUUGUGCUUACCGUUCAAAAGCUUAUGUUGAGAUUGUGAAAGAACUCAAAGAAGUUUAGCCAUUCAAUAAUGAUGAUGAUGAUAAUGCAUAUAUUUGUCAAAUGAAUAUUUCCUUCUUAAAUAGCUCUAUAAGGACCCAAUUACCCCCCGUGUGCGCCGCGUUGAUAAUACCAAGUAUAAUAUAUUCACUGACUGUGAGGAUACUGAACGUGAACAAAAAAAGAAAGCACAAACUAUAGGAAGAGAAUAGUUGAUAUAGAACUUAGAACGUACCACGGGCUUUUGCAUGGAGCUCUGAUGCCAAACAAUUUGCAAUGUACAACAGAUAGUGGGCAUCAGUGCGAGCGUACUCAAUCAUUUCUGGUGUCAGAGGGCGCAAUCUCCAAUCUUCGCGCUGGGAGCGAAACAAAACAGGAGCGGAUAUCAUGUGAUUGCAAUAUUGGAAUUUUGGAGCUUCAAACAAACUGAAAUUUUGAAUGUCAAAAUAAAUUUGCUGACAACAUGUAUGCAUUUGGUUAUCAUUUUCAUUAACGGGUCAUGUAUUCAAUACCAAACAUAAUGCUCAAAGCAAAUAAAUUAGUGAAAAAAUCUUUUUGCAGAGAAACUCAGCUGAGUUUGCUCAAUAGAAGAUAAAUCCAAAGGUGAUGUUGACUAAAACAGCAUGGGGAGGAUGGAUUCGUUGAUGCAAGUAGUGACUUAGCAUAACUUAAGAUGUGACUACCAGGUUGUGAUGGAUGUAAAGGCCAGUUUUUUGGAAAACAAUCAAAGCUAACUGGGUAAAUUGAACUAUUGAAGCCCAUGGAGGGUUGACUAUCGGGACUAUAAGUUACAAACUGGGAUUGGAUAGAUAGCACCUUUAGAAAGAGAAUUUUCAUGGAUCAUAAAGUUAGCUAGCUUGCCUUGCUUAUCAAGAUAUAAACCAAGGAAGCCAGAGAACAAGAUUUGCAUAUGUAAGCCAAACAGGCCUUAAUAGUAUGUUCAGCUCUAUGAUGUUUUUGAACAUCAUUAUAGUUUCAAUUCACCAAUUGGAAAAAAAAAUGGUAAAGCAUUUCUUGUACUAAAAUCUGAUUCCAUCAGGCAGCAUGGAAGAUAGACCCUCAAUCUGCUCCUAUAUUUUUAUUAUAUUUGCUAUGUGAAAACAUACAAAGUAAUAUAGUCAUCAUUAACCGAAUGCACCUUUCUUUAAGGAAUUUUGCAUAUUUUCCAUCCUGUCAUGGAAGUAUCAACCUUUCCUGGAUUAAUAAAGCACCACUAACUAUUCCUUUAGUUACUGAAAUACUAAAAGGUAAUCUAGAAUUGGGAGGCAUGUGAGCACUAAUUAGGUACAGAGCAUAUCAGUGCAUAAGGUCAAUUGGCAUUGAAUAACUGAGUGGCUUUACUAAGCUUGGUAUUUUUAAGCCAAUCCUGAACAAUUACUUACCUGCAUUGUCUUGUCUGUGGUCACUUCACAAUAUAGUUCAAGCAAAUAUGCUAAUGAUUUCUGUGGUUUCGACAAAAUUUCACAUGCCUGAAAUAAGAUCAGUAGUAAACACAAUUGUUUAGAAAAGUUGCAUGCAUUCAUAGCAUAAGAAAAAACUAGCUAAGGGUGUAAAUUCAGAAAUGAGAAGAGGACAUAUAACACAUCAUUUAGGAAAAAAAAAGAAGAGAGAGGAGUGAGGGACCAAUAAACCAAAAUGUUCAAACACCAAACAUGCAAUUAUAAGGUGAUAAAAGAUGGUUUAGUAACCUAGAAGUUCUGAUUCUUAACUGCAAUGGCAUUCGAGCACAUGAUGCAAAGCUUUGCUGUUCAUUCACAAAGCUUUUCAACUUACAGUUAAGAGGUUGAAAUUUUCAUGCUUCAGUAAUAGAAAAUAUAAUGCAUUAUCUGACUGAAAUCUGUUGUAUUGAUUUUUAAAAAGAUUAUUAAAAAAGGAGGUACAAGAGCACCACAUCAUCAAAUAUUUCCCCGCCCUUGGAUCCCAAGAAAACACUCAACAGAUCAUAUAAUCUAGAACAUAAUACAGAAGGCAUUCAAUAACUCAAGCUACAAUCUAAGAAACCAUAAAAGUAAUAAAGAGGAAGACAAUAUUUUUCUGGAUUGACAUUCUUAGCUAACUAGGCACAGUACUCCAGAAACAUUUCGUUCAUUUGCUGAAAAACAGUUUUUCCGUGCUAGUGUAAAGAGAGAAAAGUUACUGAGACAACUGGUUGGCUCCCAAGUCCCAACUAAAAACUAUCACGUGAUACACUAUUGGGGGUUUUCCUUUUUUAUAUUUUUUAGAUGAUAAUAUUGGGUGUUGAUGUUCAGUUAUUCAUAUUUCUUUCACUUCAUUAGAGCAAUUACAGAGUGCAUACAUGUGAUGUGAUAUCGAACAAGUUUGAAAUGACAAAAAAUACUAAACUAUCUGAACAGAAUUGUUCCUUGUGAAAAAUGGGGUGUCAAUCUAAGCAACGCAUGACCCAUAACCAGCUGUACCACAAAAAAAAAGGCCUAGAAAGUGAAUAAUAUAAAAGUAUUACAAACCGGAAAAUCUUUGCAGAAUCAUAAUAAAUGUCUUAACUAAGAUAUUUUAUACCAUUACUUACCUUGGCAGUAUCAAACAUAUUCACAACAUAAAUAUGAAAAUCCCUUUGAAGCCAAAGAACAUCAUUGUCAGCUCCAUGGAAGAUCUAGAAUACAAGGCAAAAGGUAAAUGUGCGUAUUUAGGAUGUCUUACAGUUUACCUUUUAUUCUAGGUUUAGUAAUUGACUGUCACAUAAACGCAGUAAAGGGAAAAAUAAUGUGUUGCCAUCAGAAUGUCCUACAGCUUAAAUACCUCUAAUGCAUAUCCCAAUAGUAAACUCAGUUACAUUUCAGUGGCAUGUAAAUCAAGUUCAUGGCAUCAUUUGCUUGUACUGUAAUAGAGCUUAAAAUUUGCAGUCAACAUGCCCGUCCAUUACAAAGAGUUAAGGGCUAUCAUCAACUCAAGCAUAACAACAAAUGCAAUACUGAAAACGAAAAUAACCAGCUUACCACGGAUAGCAAUUACAAAGAUGUGUUACCUUACAGAUUGAAGGAUUGGCAAACACUGGUCGUAGAAUGCCCAUCACAUCAUGCAAUGCAAUUGUGUCUAUCAAAUAAUCUUCCUUCUGGGUAGAGAUCUGAAAUAGAUAACUCUAUGUUUAAAAAAUAACAAACUUAUAAAGAACAGAAAGUUGAGGGUGCAUCUACCAGUAAUUACCUGCAUUAGUGCAGUAUAUCCUAGGAAAGACCGAACACUAUGUUGCUCUGUAUCAACAGCAAAAGCUUUUUCCUCACCCAACAAUCUUGCCAAAUGCUCCAGUUGAGCUUCUGUAUCAACCCAAUUAUAUGGAGUAUGCAUUUCUGGGCAUUGGUCACCCAGCAUAAAGCUACGAAAACCAGGGGGGUUGUUUAGCAAAGAUGUGAUUUCCUCCUCAAAUGGGUGGACCCUUUGUGAUGAUUCUGUAUCAAUUAAAAUAGACUGUCAGAACCAUAAAAAUCAUCGGACCAUUUGAGAGUCCUACGAACAAUCAAUAUUCGAAGUGCUAGAUAUGCAAAUCUCAUAUGUGGUGGCAGAACUUAUGCAGUCAGCCAUCCAGCUUGGCACCUUUGCUAUCUCUAGAUCCCCUUUACUACUAAUUCCUAAUAACAGAUUGAGUUCCUCAAGUAAAAUAUAAGGCAAUCGCGGUACAAAUAUUCAAGUUACUUGGGCCAAGAUUUCCAGAGUCCAGACCAUGAGAAGGUAUUACUGUUUCAAAUGAUACCAGCAGUAAUCAGGCAUGGCCUGGAGCCCUUCUGCAAGCCCAUAACACUAUGUCAUUAUUCCACUCCGUUCAUCACCAAAAUAGCAUGAACAAAUACAAGAACGCAGCAAACCAUCAUUUUACAUGAAUGCACAAAGCAGCAAUCAUAGGAAGUGCCAACAGGAAGGAAAAUUGAGCACCCCAAACGAAACAUCGAACUGGAAAUCCUGCAUGCAUAGCUACCAGAAUAUGCAACAACCUUCCUCAGGUGUUCGACAAAAUUCACCAGAGACAGAAAAUCAAACUGCAUUCCUCUAAUCCUCUUCUAGCCUCCUGGUGCAUCACACAGCUGGAUCCUACGUACCACGGGUCCCGUGGAAUUCCUAAAACAACCAUACGGGUACGACGGCAAUGCCGAGAUCCCCACAGGCAGGACCAGUACACUGCAUGAGCGCGCACCUUGAGACGGUAGCAGGGACGCCUCGCCUUCAGCGCCUCCCGGCUGAGCACUCUGGCGGCGCAAGUGCUUGAAUGGAGCGUAGGAGUUGUCCGCGAGCACGCGCUUGAACCGCGCCUGCGGCUUCUCCUCCUUCUCGCAGGCGCGGCGGGGGCGCCCCCGCCGCCCCGCGACCCCGAGGCGGCGAGGCGAGGCGGGCGCCCGUUUCCUGCGGCGCCUGCGGUGGAGGAGAGCCGCCGCGGCGAGGACCGCGAGGCACGCUGUGGCCGCGACGGCCGCGCGCGAUCGGAGGGUGGCGGCGCCGGGCAUGUCGCGACGCGUCGGGGACGGGAGGGAGGAAAUGGAAAGAGACCGCUGGCUCGGUUCGGCUCGAUUUUGACCGUUUUGAAGGCGCAAGGGGUUCGUCUCUGUCGGGGCCCGGACCAGCUGACUCGAGCAUCCAAGGGCUGAAAAGGAUUCACAUUCGAUUAUUCAAAUCUCGUCGAAGGGGCAAAAUUCCCGUUUCAUGUAGGCCUAAAUCCUAUCUUUCCAACAAAGCUUCAGGGGCAAAGCCCCGAUCCAUCUUGCAUUAUGUAGGGACAAAAAUGUGUAUAUUUGCAUUGCUUCUCGGACAUGGAUCAGAAUAGUUAGAGUUGUAAUGCUUUAAUUUUUAAGAGAGAUGUAAUAUUUUGAGAAAGAGUUAGGGAGAGAACUAUAGUGUUUGGAGAGAGGUUGCAUUGUCUGUGUGCUUAGGAAAAUAAAGUUUAAAAUUUGGAUCUCCACGUUAUUAAUCGUCCAAACAAUAUCUAAAAUUUAAUUUUAAAAAACAUCACAGAUCAGCUCAGAUCAGAAGGACAACAAAGAUUAGACUUUAGACUAGACCUAAGCGAAAGUUGAUCAGGCUAGGAAAAAAACGAACUUCGUGGUAGACCGAAAAAUCACACCCGCACUUGCUCAUGAGAGGCAUCAAGUCGGAAAUUUUUCGAGCUAUUAUCGUAUAGAGCUCGGGCUCAAGCGGAGCCACCCACUAUUUUUAUAUGUAAAAGUAACUAAAAUAAAUAAUCGAGCUAGGUCUAGCUCGUCUAAAUUGUUUUUAUGUUGGUAAAAUUAACGUCAUGCAAAGCUCUAUUAAAGCUGCAGGUUGGACCGGACUUUGUUUUCUCGUAUCUAGAUUAGAUACUCACAAAGUUAGAUCUUCUUCAGCGUUUGGAGGCAACUACACUCAAAGCACUCUUACGUUAGUUCUACGCGGAGAGCCUUAAUUCACACACGUGAAUACAACCACUCGACCGCAUCUCCUUAUCUCUCCUAGCCCUUCGUCCUCCUCGCAACCCAUUUGCGCUCGUCUCGCCGCUUCCUCACACCAUUGGACACAACCCUUCCCCGACCUUUAGAACCUCCUUCAUCGCCAUCGCCCCCCGCGCGCACCUACCCACACUCCCACUAAUAGCCACCUCCAUCGACCAACGAUGCUUCAUCGCCAUACCAUAUCACUUGCACCUGCAACCCUCCCUCCCUCCCGCUAGCCCCGCUCUUCUUUAACCACUUCAGCAAAGCUUCCUCUCGCCGCCUAUCCUUUCCCAACCACCUUCCUCCCCCACCAUGGCAAGCGCCGCUGCCGCUAUCUUGCCUCCCUGUUCACACUCUCCCCCGCCGCUGGUCCAACAAUUAUAGAUACCCUCCCAAUCCCAAACUUCUAAAUCUAGCCCCAAUCAAUAACCCUAACCCUAAUUCAAGUUGGAACUUAUCAAGAUUUCUCGUUGAAGAAGACGAGGUGCUCGUCGAAGAAGAAAGGAGGUCAUUGGAAAUGAAUCUUGCUGGGAUUUAUCCAUUUGAUUUGCCUUUUCCUCUUCCCUUCUAUUUUCUUUCCUAUUUUGAGUGUGCUUGAUUCGCGCACUGAUUUGGUUUCUAAAUUUAAGGGUUUUUGAUUUAAAUCUAAAUUGACUGGUCCCUCCACUUAAAUUUUCCGCUAGCCUUUGGGCGCCUUUGGUACAGCUCCAAAACCGGCUCCCGAAGCUGUUUUCGCCGGAGCCGAAACAAACACCAAAAACGGAAACGGCUUCGACCGAGAAGCACUCCGGAGCCGGAGCACUUUUUGCACUGCGCGCACGGAGCCGGAAAAUUGGGCUCCGACGGCUCCUUCCCACUUGCGCCAGGGAGAUGGCCCACCUGUUUUGCCAAAUUACGCCAAUUGCCACCGCAAAACAGAGGCGCUAGGCCUUCACACGCGCUUUCUCCCCCGUGCCGCCCCGUCUCCUCGCGCAACAGCAGCACCGGCGGCGCCAUGUCCCAGGGCUGGCGCCCAACGGCGGCGCGUCCUCCGGGCAGUGAAACCGGCGGAUCGAGCCUUGCUGACCUCGAUCCGGGGGUUGGGGGCGGCGGAGGCGCCGCAUCUCGGCCGGAUGCGGCCCUUCCCGGACCGGCGGCGGCCGGCCAACGGCGAGGGCAGCAGGCGGCCGGCCAGUCCGGGGGUGAGACGGCUCAAGCAUCGACGGCAGGCGGAGGAGUGUGGCCCGGCGGCGGCCCCCCUGUGCUGUUGGCGGCGCCCCCCCUGUGCUGUCGGCGGUGGCCUUCUUGCUGGUUCGAUGGCGGGCGGCGGAAUGGGGCCGGAUUGGUGGAGCAGCGCAGCGGCGGCCGCAGCUCUCGGGCCGGAGUGGCUGGCUAACAUAUUGGCAUCGUCGUCGGCGCCGGCGCCGGCAUCAGCGGCGAACGAGUUCGAAGAGGCAAUGUCGGUGCCAGUUCGAGGAGCCUCUGCUCGGCGUGGAGGAGGACGAGGUGGCCGAGCACCUAGAACACCAGCGCCGAUUCCUGCUGCCCCAGUAACCGUCGAUGAUGGAAGGUAAAAGUUAUUGAGCUGUUUUUGAUCCCAGACAACCCACAAAGGGAAGUCUCAUCGAGCUGGGUUUAGAAAUUUUAAGGAAUUUCAAUCAAAAGUAGCUCGGCGAUGCUCAUAUAGAUGAAAGAUUAGCUUCCUGAUUGUGUAGCUUCCAGAACUAAUUUGGACUCGUCGUCCUGAUGUUAUUAUCACAAUAACGAAAUAUUAUUCCCUUCUUUAGAUCAGUUGGUCUAAUAGUCUACAGAUGUGUUUGUUAUGUUUUAUUGGAGAGUAUAUCAUGCACUGUUAGUGUUAGCAUGCAAUUGCAAUGCUUUACAUGUUGACAUUAUGUUGUCUAUGUUUUUUAAAAGGAAAAAUUUCCGGUUCAUUCAUCAUAUCGUUGAACUGCUUUCUACUAUAAUCACUGUGCAUAGCACCUGCCGUUACUUGUUCAAAAAACAGUUAAAUAAGAAAGCCUCAAAAACAUACUGAGUCAUUUUAAGAAGUAAUUAUAUAUAAUUUGAGUAACAUUGAAAAAUUCACGUUCUAGUGUUGACAGAUGAACAAUCCAGGAUAUAACAUUGAGUUAGCAUUUCCUGAAAAAAAAAGUUAGUAUCUAACAUGCCAAGAGCAUAUGCAAAUGUAAACAUGACUUUAUGAAAAUCAUGCACUGAAAUUUGGUUUCCAAUUUCCAUAGCAAGGUUAGAUGAUUGUUUAUGUGUUUUAAAAGUCUUGAUUUUCUUCAGAUCCCAGUAAAAUACCACUUCUGUUUUGAAAAAUAAUUUAAAGUAGAUAAGAUAUUAGAUAAACUUAGCACAACAUAAACUUCUAAGUAGUCAAAAUGGAAACAGCAGGAGGUUCAUGACCUCAGAAAUCCUUGUCAUACAUCUCUAGGUGAAAAUUGUAUGUCUUACUUGUUAUUUGGUGCUUACGGUACUGAUUUGCAACAGAGACGCCGCUUGGUGUGAUGAGAACACUAGAAUAGUCUGUGAGAUUUUUGCAGACGAAGUUCAAAAAGGAAAUCGAUCAAGCACUCAUUUGAAUAAGUCAGGUUAUAAGAAUGUCAUCCAAAGGUUUCAUGAGAGGACUGGUACUCUAUAUACUAGAAAACAAUUCAAGAAUAAAUGGGAUAAAUUGAAAAUUGAUUAUGGAAUUUGGAAGCAACUGACCAAGGAGACUGGCAUAGGAUGGGAUGAAUCAGGAAAAAAUAUAGUUAUGCCAGAGAGUUGGUGGAAGGAAACAGCAAGAGUAAGUGCAAGUUAUUUUUCAUGCUUAACCAUGUUCCAUUAUUUUGGUGAAUGAUUUAUUUCUGUACUGACAAUUAUUCCUUGCAUUACAGAAAGUAAAGGGAUGUACUAGAUUUAAGCACAGAGGGCUCCAAAAUGAGGAAAACUUGGGAAUUAUGUUCGAAGAUCUUCGGAACACCGGGGACGAUCAUUGGUGUGCUUCUAGUGGUGCAAGACCUUCUCAAACAAAUUUGGAUUGUGAUGCUUCUCCCAUUAACCUUGAUGAUGAGGAUGAAGCUGACAAUGACGAUGACAGUGAACCAGAGGAGGUGACACCUUCUAGUGUGAGAGGGAAGAGAGGUAGAGUGGCUGAUAACAAGAAGGGAAAGAAACCUAAGACAAGUGGAGGUCUUUGGUUUCAAGAACAAAUGGGUAAGAUUGUGGAGAUGAAUGAGCGAACAACUGCAUCCUGUGAGUCCAUUGCGAGGAGGGAGGACAAAUCUGGUUGUUCAAUCCAGGAUGUCAUGGCAUUGGUGAAGGAAUGUGGUGUUGUUCCAGGAACAAAUGAACAUUUCAUUGCAUCACUUGUUUUUACCAAAAAAGCUGAAAGAGAGAUGUUCAUGACAUUGGACACACCUGAAGAGAGAUUUGAUUGGUUGACUAGAAAGCAUGACUGGAUGACUAGAAAUGAUGUGCCUAAGUAGAGCAAUCACUGUAUCCUUGCAAUUAGUGCUAUUUAUUUGUUGUUCUAGUUUAAUGGUUUGUAAUAUGUCGGUUUUGUAUGACUUUCCUUUGCUACUAUUUGGAGUUGUAAUAAUGAUACUGUUUUAAUGAUUAUUCUUUGUGUAAUGAACAGAUCUGAUUAUUCUUCUCAUGAGACUGAUGAAAGUGAUUCUGAUGAUGAUGAAUGGACUGUGAAAACUCUUGCAUUGUUGAGGGACGCUCAAAAUAUUCAAUUUAUGACUGCUAUGCUUGCUUCCAAAUAUUUCUUGACAUAUCAUGACAAAAAUGAGAAUAGAACUCCAUCACAGAGUGGCUUUGGUUGGACUAUGGAAAAACUUCAGACUCCAGGACAGAGCCUUAAGAUGUUCAGGAUGGACACACACCUAUUCUACCAGCUGCAUGAUUUGCUAGCGAGUUCAUAUGGUCUUGAGUCAUCUGUGCACAUAAAUUCUAUGGAAUCACUUGCUAUGUUCCUCCUUGUGUGUGGCCAAGGUAUGUCGAACAGUGCUAUCGAUGGUAUAUUCAACCAUUCUUCAGAGACCAUCAGUAGAAAAUUUGAGGAGGUUUUGAAUUGUGUGGUGGGUAUGUGUAAGGACUACAUAAGACCUAUUGAUCCUAACUUCAGUACUACACACUCAAGGAUCAGUAAUGAUCAAAGGAUGAUGCCACAUUUCAAAGAUUGCAUUGGUGCACUAGAUGGUACUCACAUUUUGGCAACACCACCUCCUCAUGACCUCAUAAGAUAUAUUGGCCGAAGUGGCAAAGCGACACUAAAUGUUCUUGCUGUUGUUGAUUUUGACUUGCGAUUUACAUAUGCAUCUAUUGGACAGCCUGGAUCUAUGCAUGACACCAAUGUGUUGUUCCAUGCACUAAGACAUGAUUAUGACAAAUUCCCUCACCCUCCUGCAGGUAGGUUCAUAUUCUCUUAUAGUUGUCAUAAGUGUGCACAUAGACAUAUUUACAAUGUAACUCAUAUAAUUUUACAUAUGUGCUUAGGAAAAUAUUACAAUGUUGAUGCUGGGUACCCGAAUAGACCUGGCUACUUGGCUCCAUACAAGGGCGCAAGGUACCAUGUGCCAGAAUGGAGGAGGGGUCCUGCUCCAAGCGGUGAGCAUGAGCUCUUUAAUCAUUUGCAUUCAAGUCUUCGUAAUGUGGUAGAGCGUGCUUUUGGAGUGUUGAAAAUGAAAUGGAGAAUACUUCUCAAGAUGCCGACUUUUCCAUUGGAGAAGCAAAUGAUGAUCAUUGCCGCAACCAUGUGCCUCCAUAACUUCAUUCGUGAGAAUAAUGCACAAGAUAAACAUUUUCGCAAAUGUGAUUGGAAUCUUGAUUAUGUGCCUACCAUACCAUCAAGAUAUGCACGCCAUCUUCCUUCCCAAAAUGCAAGCGAUACAUCAACUUCUGAAUCGAAUGAUCGAGCAAUGGAUAGAUUCCGUGAUGACCUUGCAAGGGCGAUAUUUCUGUCUAGAUCAUCAUGAGCAUUAUGUUGGCUUCUAUGGUUGAUGCGAGGAUUAUGCCUCAUCUUUUGUAAAAACCACUAUUAUUAAUGCUGAGGACUAUGCCUCAUCUUUUGUAAAAUAUUUUGGGAAAACAUUAUAAAUGGCUUCUAUGGUUGAUGAGAUCUAGAAAAUAUUUCUAUUUAUUUUUUUAAUUUAUAUGAACUAAAAUUAUAAAUGGAAGGAAAACAUACAAUUCAGCUAAACAAUCAAGUCAUUUAUCAAGGGGCAUAUUCGACAUUUGACACCUCCAAUCCUUUCAUGAAAAACAGGGUGGAGCUGUUUUGCCAAACGUUUUUCAAAACGGCUUCAGCUCCACCGGAGAAGCCACUCCACCCAAGGAGCCAGAGCCGGAGCCGUUUUUAGAGGAGCCGGAGCCCUGCCAAACUGGCCCUUUAUCAUUUCUGAUCUCCCUCCUUUCGAGUCCAAUCGGCAAUCGCUCGCUCAGCCCAAAGCAAAAUGGCAGGACCCGAGCCCAUCGGCCAUCGGCCAUGGCUCUCCUCGCCGCUGGACGACGACGACCCCCUCUCCGAGAUCCUCCGUCGCCUCCCGCCGCGCCCCUCCUCACUGCCGCAGGCCUCCCUCGUGUGCAAGCGCUGGCGCGACCUCGCCGCCUCUCCACAGUUCCUCCGCGACUUCCGCGUGUUCCACCGUGCGGCGGCGCCCCUCCUCGGCUUCUUCCACAACACCAACCUCGGCGGCCCCGACCGCCGCUUUGUCGCCGCCGCCGAUCCGCCCGACCGCGUCCCCGCCGCGCUCUUCCGCAUGCCGUGCGGCCGGAACCACAAGGAGUGGAAGUUCCUCGACUGCCGCCACGGCCGGGUCCUCCUCAUCGGCUCGGUGGGCCCCCGCCGCGAGGUCCUUGUGUGGGACCCCAUGACCGGCGCGCGCCGCUGCACGCCCGUGCCCCCAGAUGCAGGAGACGUCCGCCAAGGGGCGGUGCUGUGUUCCUGCGGCCUCGCGCGCGACUGCCGGUCCAGCCCCUUCCGGGUAGUCCUGGUUUGGUGGAUUGGGACGACGCAGCAUUGGAGGGUCGCCGCCGCCAUCUACUCGUCGGAGUCCGACGCAUGGAGCCACGUAAUCUCCGUAGAGACGCAGCUCGCACCAACCGUUCUAGUGACACAGAGGAACGCGCGGAAGCCCGGCGUUCUCGUCGGCGACGCAGUGUACUGGUUGCUUCCGGAGAGCCGCAUCCUCGAAUUCGACACAGUGAGGCGCAGCCUGUCCUUGAUCUCGGGGCCAGUGCACUCAGCAGGGUCUCCCUACUGGCAAUCCCAUCUUGUGCUGACUGAGGUUAAGGAGCUUGGCUACGCCAUGUUCAUGGUGACAGAAGUUAGCAUCAAGCUGUGGAAGAGGGACACUGGCAACGCUGCAGGAUGGUCGAUGCACAGGUCCGUUCGACUGGACAAGUGCCUCCCGAGGAUGCCGAUGCAGGCAAAGCCGUCAUUGCUGGGGUUUCAUGAGGAAAGCAAUGCAAUCUUUGUGUGGAUUAAUGCUGGCUUGUUCUUGAUCCAGCUUGAGUCGAUGCAAUCAAGGAUGUUAUGCCAAGGUGUUGGUGACUUUGAGAUCUAUCCCUUUUCAGGCUUCUAUCAUCGAGGUACUAACUUGCUUUCUUUCAACACGUAAUUAUGCAUUCUUCAGUUUGAUUAUUUCACAUAAGAUGUAUUACGGUGUUCGAUCAUUAUGUGCAACUUUGUAGUAUAUCAGCCAUAAUUGGAUAGCAAAAUGCAAAGUUCAUGUUUUCAUUGAGUUGUCUGAUUGCCUUGAUAGAUGGGCCAACUUUUUAUGGGGUUUUCUGAUGAACCGUGCAGGUUUUAUGUUUAAUUGAGGUUUUGUGUUUGUGUUCAGUUUCUAUCACUUAAAGUUGAUUAGGCUAAUGCUAUGUAUAAAUGCAUUUGUUAAAAAGGUAGGAGGAAUCAUAAAGGGGAGUAGGGGACCAAUGCCUUGGUUCCUUCAGUAUUCUUCUCUGCUCAAUGUAGUUUUAUAGUAAUAGCCUCAAAACUACUACCACACACAACAACAAGGCCUUAGUACGAAGCAAAGUUGGGGCAGGCUAAUAGCCUCAAAACUACCACUGGUGCAAAUACUAAACUUCAUGUAUGAGAAUUAAAAAGAAUUUUAUUGUUUUAUUUACCGUUAGUGGAGGCAGACAGAAAGGAACAGGUUAUGUUUAAUGCUAUUCUGCAGUUCAUAUACUAGUACAGGUUCAAAGCCUAUAGUACUGUCUAGUUACAAGUAUCCCCUUUUCCUCUAUCAUCUAACCAGAUUGAUCUUGACGAACUCAAUGCAGAUGCCGCGGGAACACAGGCAGACGAUGCGUGCAGUCAUGCGCUUCCCAUUGCCACUCUGACAAUGUGGCACUACGAGGACCCUCAGGGAGACUUGCACGGGCCAUUCUCGAUGGCGAUGUUGCACAGCUGGAGGAGCAAUGGUUUCUUCCCUGAGGACUUGAGGGUGUGGAGAACCGACGAGACCAAGGAGCAGGCGGUCCUGCUGACCGAUGCCAUGCGGAUGCCAUGCUAUUGAUGGCGCUGGCGCGUUUCGGAUCCGAGGGUCGCCAGUGGAGCAGUGAGUGAUUUGGUAAUCCUUGUGUUAGUGCCUGCCUGCCUGUCUUAAGUUCUGGAGCCUGAUCUUGGUGAAUUUGGUGGUCGGUGAAUGUGGUUUCUAGUACUUCAGGGAGGCUCAUUUGCUGUUUCCUUCCUGUUACAAACGUUACAGCCAGGCUAUGUAUGUUACCUGCUACCUGCUUCCGGAGUUGUUUGUUAAUCGACUUCAGGUAGUGUUUGGUUGGCUCAAAUGUAAUGUAAUCUGAUUACUGAAGGUAACGAAUCCUAUUAUAUAUGUUUGGUUGCGAUGGUUUGCAAUCAAUUGACACUGUAAUCGAAUCUCUUACCUAAAUAAUAUCUAUACAAGCUUGUUACCCCUCAUCUCCCACCGUAAUCAGAUAUAGCACCCACACAGUAAUCUGAUUACGUUACCAGAGUGCAACCAAAUAAAGAGGGCAAUCACCUAUUCCACCUCUAAAUACAUUGUAAUCUGAUUCCCUUUGCGUUUACAUUACCUUAGCACGAAUCAAAUUUCUCAUGCUAGUUCUCGGCUUCCUGGAUGAUUUAUGUAUCUACUGGUAGUAGCGACCAGCAGGUCUUGUUGCGUGUCGGUGGCGCCUGCUACUGGGGGCCGGAUCUGUCGGCGGCUGGCCGGAAGAUCGAUGCAUCAAGCAAAAGCAAAUGUGAUCUGAGCCUGAACAGCCGAGGUUUUACACGAGCCAAGCGACCAAGGCCAUGUUUAGUUACUCCCAACUCCCAACUUUGACACUAUGCAAAAAGAAGAUUCCCCAUCACAUCAAACUUGCGGUACAUGCAUGGAGUACUAAAUGUAGAUGAAAUUCAAAACUAAUUGCACAGUUUUGUUGUACUUUGCGAGACGAAUCUUUUGAGCCUAAUUAGUCAAUAUUUGGACAAUAAUUCACAAAUACAAACAAAACGCUACAGUGUGCUACAGUGCUGUAACAGUAAUUUGGCACCUCCCAAAUUCCCCAACUAAACACGGCCCAAACCUAUCGAGCCUGUCAGUCUGCAGCUUAUUCAAACUAAGGUCUAUGAUUACUUGGCCCUUGUUCAGUUGACCCCCAACUCCCAAUUUUGACACUAUGCAAAAAGAAGAUUUCCCAUCACAUCAAACUUGCGGUACAUGCAUGGAGUACUAAAUGUAGACGAAAUUAAAAACUAAUUGCACAGUUUUGUUGUACUUUGCGAGAUGAAUCUUUUAAGCCUAAUUAGUCAAUGUUUGAACAAUAAUUCACAAAUACAAACGAAACGCUACAGUAUGCUACAGUGCUGUAACAGUAAUUUGGCACCUCCAAACUUUGGCAACUAAACAAGGCGUUGGUCCGGUGGGCGGAGGUAAGCAUUGGGCCUUGAGGCGAGCUGAGCUUGAGCAGUUGAGGUCUUCCUCGAGCUGUGCUCUGUCUCUGUUAGGCUUAGUUUGGGAACAAGGGAGCCCUAACCCAGGGUAGGAACGUCCUGGAGGGGGAUUUUUGUGGCAAGUCCAUUCCCCAUUCUUUUCCUGGGUGGUAAUUCCCUGUGUGUUGGUGCUAUUUGGGAGUAGAGGGAGAGAAAUCCCAGAGAGCAAAUAAGGGCUCAUAAAAUCAGGAAAAAGAAAAAAAAUCAAUAUAGUCUCCAAUGUUUCGUUUUGCAUGUUCUAUAUAUAUCAGCUAUUGUUGGGUCUGCUGAAUUAGCUAAUGUAAGCAGCUUAAGUCCAAGAUCACGCAACGAGAAAUCCACACCUGACCUGCAUACCAUUUAAUCUUUCUUCUUGUUGCAGGGGAGCAGAACCUCUCAAACAGCAUGGUGAAGAACCCUAAGAAAUCAAGCCGCUUCUUUGGGUCAUCUUUCUCCACCUCCCUGUUUGUUUCUUCAGGCUUCUCUCCUUCAGCUGAAGUUUCAGCAGUAGCAGCAGUCUUAGUUGGAGUUUCAGUUGUGGGGGCUGUCUGCUCCUGCUGCACCACUGCGACGACAGCCUGAAUUUCUUCUACUGCUUGCUCCACAUUCGAUUCUUCAGUCUUGUCAGCAGAGGCGGCAACGUCAGCGUUCUGGGCAGCUUCGCCUUCCUCUACUUUCUCUUCAGCCUCAGGUUCUUUAUCUUUGGAUCCUGUUCAAGGAAAGGAUGAUUGCAAAUGUUCAACAAUCAGGCUGUCGAUGAAACAAAUGCACCAUGUAGUCAGGUAAAUUUCCAGAGACAAUCCCAGAAACAAUGGAAGAUCAGAUGCCUUACGAUGCCUCUGCAGAUGAAGAGCAUCAGCAAGGCUCUUAACCUCAUCUUGACCUUCUCCACCACUUCCGGGUGGCUCUUCACCUUGUCCAUAACUGCACUUAAAGCAUCCAUGUCCUUGUUUCCUUGUUCUUCACUUCCUUGCUCUGCAAAAUCGACACGAAUGCUUAUUAGAGAAAAUGGUAUGUUCUGAAGAGAGAAAGAAAUUAAAGAAAAAAGGGGGACUUAAUUUAGCAUUUUUCAGUCACAUGCAUCAUCUGAAGUUUGGGUCAAAAUAGCUCCUUACAAGCGAGUAACGACGAGAUGAACAAGAACCCAAGUGUUCAUUAGUUAAUUACACUUUCCCUAAUUCAAGCCUCACCAUAAGAAAUACUGAUGAGAUCCAUGGGUUAAUUACACGUUCUCCAUUUUUCCCUUUAAAUAAAUCCCUAGUUACUGAAUGCAAUCAUCACACCCCAAUCAGUGAAUUAUCAGUAAAACACAAAGCAGGGGAAAGAAACUAUCUUCUUACUGAUCAAUUCGACUGGAAAAGGAUUCUUCAAGACAACAGUAAAGAUGCCAAAUCCCAAAACAGAAACAUACUGAGGUGUCAAAUGGGUAAAAUGAAAAUUACUUGUAACAUGGAAAUAUCUUCUGAAUUUGCAGAUUUACCUCAAAUCCUGAUCUGGUCAGACACCAUGGCAAUAACCAUGGCAAAGUAGCCUGUGAUGCAAAAAAAAUUACGAACAUGUUUUUGUGGCAAAGAAAAGAAAAUCUUUGUAGAACAACACAUCUGAUAGGGGUAGGAUCCUAGUCUAUAUUGUAGAGAUCACUCUCUAGUGCUUUCAGAAAAUUUACACUAAUUUACAAAAAGCAAAGUAAAAUGUCGAAUUUGCAACUUAUCUACGAGAUAGAAAAUGCCAAUACAUCAUGUUAGCUGUUACUAGGUUUAAUUUGUGAAUUUACACAUCAUACUAAUCAAUCACUUGCCAUGUAUCACAAGGAAUUCUCACAAGGCUAGCAAGCUCACAAAUAACAUGAAAACACGGUUUAGUGACUAGCAUUCUUUACAAAGGUACAGGUUUGUUAUGAGGAUGACCACAAAUCGCAGAAAAACACAAGCAACCUGAUGAUAUCUGCACAUUACACUACCGGAACUGAUAAUGCUAAUUGAGUCUACCAAACUUUGCACGAAAUCACCACAUGACCUGCCAGAUCUAUUGUUCCACACUUUUGGUCACAUAAAAACAAGAAGAUUCGAACCUGAAGUUGUCAUUCUCUUAGCUGCAGCAAUCUUUCAUUGACGAUCAAAUAGCAAAGAUCUCCCUCCACCAAUUUACCUUCCUCAUCAAACUCCUACGCUCUGUAAACAGCAAAGAUUUAAGAUCAAUUGCAAAGACCAUGCGAGAUAAACUCUGGGAGGAGAGAUGGGGAAGAUGACCUUUGCGAGCUGCAACUGCUGGAGUGGUGGUGAAGACGAGGUGGAGGCGCCGUGGUGGCUGCAGAGGAGGCGGCCGAGGUGGAGGCGCUGAAGCAGAUCAAGAUGAGGAGGCGGACGGGCGGCGCCUUUACGGGAUGGUGGAGUGGCGAUCUGCUUGCCUGACAGGCGGCGGCUGGACGAGGGAGGACGGCGUGGUGCCGCUGCCCGGACGGGAAGGCGGAGGAGCGGUGGCGCCUAGACGGAGGCGGGGCAACAGCGCCUGGACGGAGGCGGAGCGGCGGCGUCGCGGCGAGUGGUGCUAGCUCCCUCGCAUCGCUUCGGUCGCGACGACGCUCGGGGAAGCGCCGUCCGGACCCUCGAGGUGGGGAGGCCUCGCCACGCGGAAAACUCGCGGAUCGGGUCAGAUGUCCCCGUCUCGUGUUCUCCCAAAUGACGGGGUAACUUGGCCCGUGUCCAGAUCUCCGCGGGGGCUUCUAUCCUCGGGAAAACGACGGGAUCCCCUCGGGGUUCGAGGUUCCCAAAGGAGCCCUUACAGAGUUUACUACACGCGGGGGCGGGGAGUUCGGUACUUCAGUGAAAUAGGCGCCAGUUUGAACUUGAAAUGUCACUGAGCUUACGAUCUGAUGACGACCGCCGCCGCCUCCAAGCUCAGCUGUGUCACCAACUCACCGUUGUCUGAGACGCUGUGCGGGGGCCCCGCGACGCCGCCAUGGAACUGGCACGCCGAUCACGAAGCGUCGAGAGGUGCCCUCCACUCCACCUGUUCCCUCCCGGCGUACCCCACGCCUGCCUCGCGCGUGGUUGGCGCUUCCCUUUCCCUCCAAAGCAGCCUUCCUUUCUGCUGGCACUCGCCCGCAGCCCCGCCCCCCUUAUCACUCGCUGAUCGCCCGCGGCGCAGCGAAGCGACGAUGUACAGAGCGGCCGCCUCGACGCUUCGCCACAGCCUCCGCCGCUUCCCCUCCUCAUCCUCCGCGGCCACCCCGCUCGCGGGGGCCGCCCGCUUCCUCGCGACCUCCUCCGAGCGUCGUCGGCUCCCCGCGCCCACCUCGUCCCGCCUCCUCGGAUCGCCGGGCGCGCGCGGGAGCUGCUCACCAGGCGCUGCGGUCACCGAGCGCGAGCGGUCUGCGUCCGCGUGGCGCGGGCUCGCCACCAUGGGUAUGCACGUUUCUGCUAGUACGCUGCAGUGCACACUGCAGCACCCUCUCCCUCCCUCUUUUAAAAACUGUGGUCCAACGGUAAAAAAAAACAAAUAAAAUGUUCUAGAACUUAACUUUUUCGAAUUUUAAAAAAUUGUUGUUCGUACGCAGUGUUCUACUAUUCUCUAUCUGUGUUGAAAGAAGCAGAGUUGUCAUAUUGUCUGGUUUGUAUUUUGAGUAGCUGUACCUCGGAGAUUUGAAGUUCUACUGCUCCAUGCUUAAUUAGGUGAUCGAUCGAGUAGCUUCAAGCAUCCAAUUGGCAGUGACCAACAUCACCAUUGAAUAAAUUCCAAAUCUCGGGUUUCAAUUUUUAAUGGUUGUUGCUCAUGUUUUCAUUGCCACUCUUUAAUCAUGAUCGCUGUAUGUGUGCUGACCGCAGCUGAAGCUAAUAGCGGCUUCGGGCAUGUCCUGACAAGCCUCCCGAAGCCUGGUGGUGGAGAGUACGGGAAGUACUACAGCUUGCCGACCCUGAAUGAUCCUAGGAUAGGUAAAGCUCUUCUUGGCCAAGCAAUGUUGUGGUGCUUAUAUGUGCACUAAUAUGAAAGAUCCCUAUGGAAGUUGUAAUUCAUUUAUGCAUUCCAUUUUCAGAAAGAUUGCCAUACUCUAUCCGGUAUCUGCUUGAGUCGGCCAUCUGCAACUGUGACGGUUUUCAGAUUACAGAGAACGAUGUUGAGAAUAUUAUCGAUUGGGAGAAUACUGCUCCCAAGCUAGUGGAGAUACCGUUCAAGCCUGCCCAUGUUCUUCUGCAGGUGUGGCAGUGUGCAUAGAGCCUUCCUAAUUUUAUUCUUCACUUCACCGUAGCGUAAACUAACUAUCAGCUUUCCUCUCUUGAAAGGAUUUUAGUGGCGUUCCCACUAUUGUUGACCUUGCAAGCAUGCGUGAUGCUAUGGCCCGACUGGGUGAUGAUCCUGGAAAGAUUGACCCCCUGGUAGGCUUAACUCAGUACAGUUAUGACAUUAGAAUCACCAUGCAAGAAUGGUCAUGCGACUGGUCAUCAUCUAAUAUUUCUCAACAUUUCACAUUUUUGUUAUUCACUUGCAGAUUCCAGUGGACCUAGUAAUUGAUCAUUCGGAACAAGCUGAUGUGGUAAGAUCAGAGAAUGCUCUUCAAGCUAAUAUGCAGCGUGAAUUCGACAGGAACAAGGAGCGCUUCGCCUUCCUUCGGUGGGGUUCUAUGGCAUUCAAUAAUAUGCUUAUUGUUCCACCAGGUUCAGGAAUUGUUCAUCAGGUGCAUUUUUUUUUCUCUAGGCUGGACAGUUUUCCAUUCCCAUCUUUUUGUGUACCUUAAUUGUAUUAUGCUUCUUGAGUUUCAUUUGAUGCUAAAUUCUAUUUUUUUUACAGGUGAAUCUUGAAUAUCUUGGGCGAGUUGUUUUCAAUACCAAUGGCAUUAUGUAUCCAGACAGUGUGCUGGGAACGGAUUCUCACACAACCAUGAUUGAUGGAAUGGGAGUUGUGGGCUGGGGCGUUGGGGGGAUUGAAGCAGAGGCGACAAUGCUUGGUCAGGUAAUACACAGAGAUGUUCAUUUUUCGUGCACAUUAAGAUAUUCCUAUUUGCACAUAAACCUUUCUUUUGAUUUUAUCUGAUGCAAUAUUUUUCUGAACGGACAGCCAAUGAGUAUGGUCCUGCCUAGUGUAGUUGGAUUUAAACUGUCAGGGAAAUUGCGUGAUGGUGUUACUGCAACUGACCUAGUCUUGACAGUAACACAAAUUCUUAGGAAGCAUGGUGUUGUUGGCAAGUUUGUUGAGUUUUAUGGUAAAAGUUUAUUUCUGUACAAUUUUACUUCUGUCAAUUUUAAUAAUUAUCACUAAUGGUUGGGUUUUGCGUGUAGGUGAGGGGAUGAGUGAGCUAGCAGUUGCUAACAGGGCAACGAUUGCUAACAUGUCACCAGAAUAUGGCGCGACAAUGGGCUACUUCCCAGUUGAUCAUGUGACCCUUGGAUACCUGAAGCUGACAGGGAGAAGUGAUGAAAAGGUUACUUCCAUUUUUCAACCUAAAUUUACUCACGUCUUCUCGAAAAACAUUACGACGGAUCCAAUCUAUUGUUGGCUGGACAUUCCUUUUUUGGUCCAAUAGUUUUCUUGCAUUGUAAUUUCCUUACAAUAGGUUGAGAUGGUGGAGGCAUACCUUCGAUCUAAUAACAUGUUUGUUGAUUACAACGAGGUCAGAAUCAUCCAAACUAUCUCAGAUAUCACAAGACGCAUAUGUCUAACAUCCAACUGCAAUUUCAGGCUCAAACGGAAAGAGUUUACUCAUCUUAUCUAUAGUUAGGCCUAGCAGAUGUUGAACCAUGCGUUUCAGGUCCGAAAAGGUAACAUUCUAUUCUAGAUAUGCUUUUGAUCUUAUGAUGCUACACAUAAGUUUUUCUUGAAUAUGAUUGUACCCAAUCAUCUUUAUGCUCAGGCCUCAUGACCGUGUUGCUUUGAAAGAUAUGAAAGCAGAUUGGCAUGCCUGUCUCAAUAAUAAAGUUGGUUUUAAGGUGACAGUACUAAACUAACUUGAAUGUUGCCAGCAUCCAUGAUAGUCAAAUAGCCUAUCCUUUACAUGAUUUCUGUUGUACCCAUCAAAAGAAUAGUAAAUUCACUUAGGGUCUCUACAAUUUUCGUUUGGGUUAUUGCAGGGCUUUGGUGUACCUAAAGAGCAACAGGAUAAAGCUGUGAAGUUCUCCUUCCAUGGGCAACCUGCAGAGACUAGACAUGGUAGUGUUGUGAUUGCUGCCAUAACAAGUUGCACAAACACCUCGAAUCCAAGUGUCAUGCUUGGUGCUGGCCUUGUUCAAAGAAGGCGUGUGAACUUGGCCUUGAGGUGAGGCUUCAUUGCUUUCAAAAUUACAUCUUAAUGUAGCAUGCCUUUGGUAACUUUGGUCUACUAACAGGUUCAUCCAUAGAUUUAAACUAGUCUUGCUCCAGGAUCUGGAGCAGUGACCAAAUAUCUGCAGAAAAGGUAGUAUUUCCCUCCUGGCCUGGUAGUUUUAGACCUGAAAUUUAUUUAGCUUCAAAUCUGGAAAAACCUGACUUAUGUCUCAAAAUCAGUGGCUUGCAAAAGUAUUUGGAUAACCUAGGUUUCAACUUAAUUGGAUAUGGCUGCACAACAUGCAUUGGUAACUCUGGCGAGCUUGAUGAAGAUGUUGCUAAGGCAAUUACUGACAAUGGAACUUCAUACUUACAAACUAAUCACAUUUGUUGAUUUUUCCUGCUCGAUUGUACUUCAGAAAAGGACAAAGUCCAUUUUACUACCCUCACCUUUCCGCUUUGUCCAUCUAACCCCCUCAACAAAAUUUAGGCUCGAUUUACCCCCCUAAACUAUUUCAAUUGAUCCAAUGUACCCUCUAAUGAGAUUUGUCUUUUUUAUUUCUCUACAUACAAGUUGAAUUUUAAAUCCAAAUUUUGUGAGUAGAUAGGGAACAUGAUGGCUAGUAGAAAAAUAUAUUAAGAUUUUUUUGGUUAUUUUCAUAGAUCAGGAAUAUUUAAUAUGAAAUUGAUCAUAGGGAUACAAAACUGCAUAAAAAGUAAUGAUGAAAAAAUCAUAAUGUAUUUUUCUGAAUGUAUUUUUCUAAUAUAGGGCAUUGUGUUAUAAGUCACUCGGCAAAAUUUGAACUCAAAACCCAACUUGUACACAAAGAAAUAAAAAAGACAAAUUUCAUUAGGGGGGUAGGUUGGACCAACUAAAAUAGUUGAGGGGAGUAAAUCAAUCCUAAAUUUUGGUCAGGGGGUUAAGCGGACAAAGUGGCUAGGUGAGGGUAUUAAAAUCCUUCAGAAAAUUAAAUCCCAUAGUCUUGGCAUGCACAUCAUUGCUGCUGCAGUACUCUCCGGAAACAGGAACUUCGAAGGACGAAUUCAUGCAUUGGUUCGGGCCAAUUAUCUUGCCUCCCCUCCUCUAGUUGUGGCCUAUGCCCUUGCCGGCACAGUAAGCAGUGAUUUACCUGAUUGAUUCCAUUUUUUAUGGUGUCACCACCACAUAAAUAAACUCUUGUAUUUUGUAUACAUUUGCAUCAGGUUGAUAUUGAUUUUGAGAAGGAGCCAAUCGGGAAAGGAAAAGAUGGAAAGGAUGUGUACUUCAAGGACAUAUGGCCAUCAAAUGAAGAAAUUGCAGAGGUAAAUUCAAAGUUGUUGCACUCGUCUUGUUCAGAAUGUAUUUACCAAAAAUGGAACACACAUUAUCUCAUUAUGGUUGGAUUAUAACAUUUACCAGGUUGAGCAAUCGAGUGUGCUGCCUGACAUGUUUAGGAGCACCUAUGAAGCAAUCACGCAGGGCAACCCAAUGUGGAACCAGUUGUCCGUUACGAAAGCAAAAUGCUUCCCAUGGGAUCCCAACUCUACCUACAUUCAUGAUCCCCCGUUCUUCAAGGAUAUAACACCGACUCCACGAGGUCCACGCAGCGUAGAGGACGCCUACUGGCUAUUGCCUGCUGAAGUUUGGUGACAGCAUCACGACUGAUCACAUCUCACCAGCUGGGAGCAUCCCCAAGGACAGCCCUGCUGGCAAAUACCUGCUUGAGCGCGGUGUGCAGCCAAAGGAUUUCAAUUCUUAUGGAAGUCGACGGGGCAAUGACAAAGUGAUGGCACGAGGAACCUUUGCGAAUAUCAGGAUUGUGAAUCGGCUGUUAAAUAGAGAAGUUGGACCAAAGACAGUUCAUGUCCCUACCGGAGACAAGCUUUUCGUGUUCGAUGCGGCAAUGGUUAGUUUUUCUUCGCCAAGAAAAAAUUGUUGUUAAGUACUCCCUCUGUCACAAAUUACUAUUUGUUUUAGCUUUUCUAGAUGCAUAACUUUUGUUAUGUGCAUAACAAAAGUUAUGUAUCUAGAAAAGUCAAAACGAAUAGAAAUUUGGGACGGAGGGGUAUACUACUCGAAAUGAUUACAGUCAAGUGUAUACUUGUCAUUUUCCGUUGUCUAUCUGACUACAAAAUGCAGCUGAUUAUGAGAUCAUAAUUCUUGUUGACGAGUAUUUCUCAUAUGCUCCUCUCAGUCUAUUACAAUUGUCAUGUCUGUGACAGAGAUAUAAAACUGAUGGACAUCACACCAUAGUGCUGGCUGGAGAGGAAUAUGGCAGCGGAAGUUCUCGCUACUGGGCUGCCAAGGGACCUAUGUUACUGGUAUGCACACAUCAUAUGACCUCUAUUUCUUUGCUGGCUACCAGGAAUUUGCAGCAUGUCUUUGACAAAAUUAUGUCACCAGGGGGUGAAAGCGGUGAUCGCCAAGAGUUUCGAGAGGAUCCACCGCAGCAACCAGGGGCGGAUCCAGAACGGGGCUGCGCCCCGGGCUGAGCUGUUGAAUCACACCUAAAAUAGUCUAAUUUUGUCUCCUAAGCCUCAUUUUGUUAGGCUAAACAGCACAUAGGUUAAAGGGACUCCGUGGUCUCGCCCCGGGCUGCAGCCCGGGCAGCCCGGGCCCUGGAUCCGCCCUUGGCAGCAACCUAGUGGGAAUAGGGGUGAUACCGCUGUGCUUCAAGCCUGGGGAGGAUGCUGAUUCUCUGGGGCUCACCGGUCUUGAGCGCCAUACGAUUAGGCUCCCUAGCGAGGUAAGUGAGAUACAACCGGGGCAGGAUGUCCAAGUGGUCACUGACAGUGGGAAGUCCUUUACCUGCAAGCUCCGUAUUGAUACUAUGGUAAGUUCUCCGGUAAUGUGGAACUGGUAAUUCUAGGAAAACUGCGUGUAGGUUGACUGGAAUGUUCACAGUAUAAUGGUAUAGGUCGUUUUGACUUUUCUAGAUACAUAGAUAUUAUCAUGCAUCUAGACAUAGGGUAUAUCUAAGUGCAUAUCAAAGUCUAUGAAUCUAAUAAAAUCAAAACGACCUAUAAUUUAGGACAGAGGGAGUACAAUAAAAUGCCACAUCACGUUUUCUGAAAGUUACAGCUAAUGAUUGCAAGCGCGUGUGCGCGCGUACAACCCCACUUAACAAUGCCUUUUCAACAAGCUUAACAUCGGUUGAAUUGUAUUGAUUUUCAAUGUAAAUUGCGUAAGGGAAUAACAAAGAUGUUGGUUUUGUAGGUGGAGCUGGCUUACUUUGACCAUGGUGGAAUCCUUCACUACGUGCUAAGGAACUUGGUGAAGCAGCAGUAGCAGUAAACCUGCAACAAAUCCAUGCAAAUUUGUAAAUAUCUGGUGUGUCUUCAGAAAUGCUAUGGUGGGAACAAGAAGAGACUCUUCUAAUUUGUAAACACAAGCCAUUGUAAACGCUCAUGAGCUGUGCUCUUUUGUAUGUUUUUUUAUUUUUCCUGCGCUAAUAAAGGCGUUCUUUGUCUAUUAAAAAGACAUCUACCACCUGAACUUCUUUCUUCCCUGAAGGUGCAAGCGCUGAUUUGCUGAGUCGUGACAUACUCCCUCCGCCUCAAAUUGUUGAGUCGUGACAUACUCCCCCGUCUCAAAUUGUAGGCUGUUUCUGUUUUAUCUUUUUCAAGUACAUAAUUUUUAAUAUAUAUGAAGAUAUAGUGUACGAACCUCGAAAAGUUAAAUGUAAAAUUUAAAGUGGAGUAUCUCCAUUGACUUGCAAAAAAUGAAAUAUCUGUUAGUAAAAUGUUGUUCCUAAUUUGAUAAUUCAUCGUUCUUUUCAUCUUUUGUUUGCAGGGAACAACAGUAAACAUAUCGAAGUAAUUGGCAUCAUGGAUAUAUGAAACGAUGAUCUUUCUUAUGCUUCAGUCCCCCCCCCCCCCUGUUUACGUUGGGCAAGAGGCAAAAGAGAUUCAAAUUGUAUGAAUCGUGUUCAUAAAGAGACGAGACUAAGAAGUCACCAGAAAUGCAUGACCUAUUUGGCGAAGUGCCGGGUUCCAGCUGAUGCUCCUGCCACCUUGCCAGUUUGAUCUGGAUGUUCACUGUGACUUUGAAACUAAACAGAAAUAAGAUGUACUCCCUCCAUCCCAAAUUACUAUUCGUUUUGGUACAUAACUUUUCUUAUACACCUAUAUAUAUAUUAUGUCUAGAUACGUGGCGAAUAGUAAUUUGGAACGGAAGGAGUAUCAACAAAACUUUUCAGAUUGCUGAAUUUAGGCCAUGUUUAGUUCACUCCAAAAUCCCAACUUUGGUACUAUGCAAAAAGAAGAUUCUCCAUCACAUCAAACUUGCGGUACAUGCAUGGAGUACUGAAUGUAGACGAAAUCAAAAACUAAUUGCACAGUUUUGUUGUACUUUGCGAGACGAAUCUUUUGAGCCUAAAUAGUUAAUAUUUGGACAAUAAUUCACAGAUACAAACGAAACGCUACAGUGUUGCUACAGUAAUUUUGACACCCCAAAGUUGGGCAACUAAAACGCAAGCAUCAGAUGUCUGCAAACUUGAACAAAUCACUGCUGCAACAUCACCGGAUGAACAAGCAGCCAAGCACUGUACAAGUACAAGUACAAGCACACGGGGCAACACAUGCACAUCUGAACAAGAACAAGCACUUUGAACUCUACCAUGAGCCACGUGAUGUCGUGAUCCGAUCCAACGGUCCAGCGGCUUUCUUUGGAUCCUUCGGUUAUACUACUCGUCACCUCGGCCAGCGCCCUCGGCCUUCCACCCGCUCAGCGCCCAUCUCCCGCCGCCGCCGCCGCCGCCAGGGCGGGCACCACUCCAGGAACCGGCGCCGCCGGAUGCUCCUUCGCCGCGUCGCCGCCGCCGCAGCAGCAGCGAAGCGCUCCUCCUCUUUGACCCCCGCGCGAGCCCUCCUGCACGAGGGCGCCGCCGGCCGCGGCCACGCCACCGCCUCCUCUCCUCCACGCCGCCGCGGUCACCGCCGCGCUCCGACGGCUGAGUCCGAGCCCCUCACGGCCACCGCAUCGCCCCGCCCGUUCCCGGACUACCACCCGCCCCGCCCCGACUCGCCGGAGGACGACUUCCUCGCGCGCCGCCUCGCCGCCGUGGUGGUCGCCUCGCCUCGUCCCGGCACCCUCCCGCCGCUCCCAUUCCUGCCACUCCUCCGCCCGAUCCACCUCCUCCUCGCGCUACAGCUCCUCGCAUCCGACCCGGACCACGCCGGCCUCCUCCUCCCGUUACUCCUCCUCUUCCCCUCACGCCGCAACCAGCAGCCCCACCCGCACCUUCUCCGGUGCUUCGCCGUCGCCGCGCACCUCGCCGCCGCCCGCGGAGACGCGGUCACCGCGCGCGCCAUCCUCGUGCGCGCCGUCCGCUUCCCUUCGCCCCAUCGGCAUUUCGUCGAACACUUCAUCACCACCUACAAGGCCUUCUCUUCGGACCCCGCCUCCUUCGACCUCCUCCUCCAGUGCCUCCCCUCCGCGCCCCUACUGCGCCGCCUCCGCCAGUACGGCAUUUCCCCGUCGCUGGAGGCCUGCAACGCCGUGCUCUCCCGCCUCCCUCUUGAUGAGGCCAUCAAGUUGUUUCAAGAACUCCCGGACAAGAACGUUUGCUCCUACAAUAUACUACUCAAGGCGCUCUGUGGUGCUGGCCAUUUGGAGGAUGCACGCCAACUGUUUGAUGAAAUGGCGUUGCCGCCUGAUGUUGUCACGUAUGGGAUUCUUGUCCAUGGUUACUGUGCUCUUGGUGAACUGGAGAGCGCCGUGAAACUGUUGGAUGAAAUGGUGGCAAGAGGGAUGGAGCCAAAUGCAAUCGUGUAUACAAGUAUUGUUGCAUUAUUGUGUGACAACGGGCAGGUUUCAGAUGCUUUGAGGGUGGUGGAGGAUAUGGUCCAGCGUAAGGUGAUAUUGGAUGAGGCAGUGUAUACAACUGUCUUGAGUGGUUUCUGUAAUAAAGGGGAUUUGGCAGCUGCAAGAAGGUGGUUUGAUGAGAUGCAGAAAUCAGGUUUGGCAACUGAUGGGGUGACAUAUACCACGCUGAUCAAUGGGCUUUGCCGGGCUGGUGAGCUGAAAGAGGCAGAGAUGUUGCUUCAGCAAAUGUUGGCCAGGCAGUUGGAUGCCGAUGAGGUCACAUACACAGUGCUCAUAGAUGGGUACUGCAAGAGAGGGAAGAUGGCAGAGGCCUUUCGAGUGCAUAAUACAAUGGUGCAGAGAGGAGUGACACCGAAUGUGGUGACAUACACAGCUUUGUCGGAUGGACUAUGCAAGCAAGGGGAUGCUCAGGCUGCUAAUGAGCUAUUGCACGAGAUGUGUAACAGGGGGCUUGAGCUGAAUGCUUGCACAUACAACUCCCUGAUCAAUGGCCUAUGCAAGUCUGGCAAUCUGGAGCAGGCCAUGAGGACUAUGGCAGACAUGGAUACAGCGGGUCUUAAGCCAGAUGUUUACACAUACACAACUCUUAUUGAUGCACUCUGCAAGUCAGGGGAGCUUGAUAGGGCUCACACCCUCUUGCAGGAGAUGUUAGAUAAAGGAAUUAAGCCUACUAUUGUCACUUAUAAUGUUUUGAUGAAUGGUUUUUGCAUGUCAGGUAGGGUAGAAGGAGGAAAGAAGCUGCUCGAAUGGAUGCUAGAGAAGAACAUCCGCCCUAAUGCAGCAACCUACAAUUCUCUAAUGAAGCAGUACUGCAUUGGCAAUAAUAUGAAAUCUGCCACUGAGAUCUAUAAGGGGAUGAAUUCUCUGGAGGUGGCGCCAAAUGAGAACACGUACAAUAUAUUGGUCAAGGGGCACUGCAAGGCAAGAAAUAUGAAAGAGGCACUAUAUUUCCACAAGGAAAUGAUAGAAAAGGGUUUCAGACUUACUGCAACCUCAUACAGUUCUCUUAUAAGAUUGCUGAAUAAAAAGAAGAAAUUUAUUGAGGCAAGAAAGCUAUUUGAUGAGAUGAGGAAGGAGGGUUUGACAGCUGAACCAGAUGUAUACAAUUUUUAUAUUGAUUUCAAUUUUAAUGAGGAUAAUUUGGAGUCAACUCUAGCUCUUUGUGAUGAACUGGUGGAAGCCAGUAUCGUGAAAUCAAGAGCUGAAAUGGAUCAAGAUGUUGUAAAGGAACAUAUACAUUAGGAACAUUAUUUAGGCUGGCGAUGUAAUGCUAGCUUCUUCUAGAUCGUGUCUAAUGUGAACACACGAUCCAGACUAUGUACUGCCCCUUUUCACCAUGCUAAAGCUGACAGUUGAGGUACUAAUGGUUUCUUCUAAUCAUUUAAAUUGGUUACACGUAGUAGUUCUGUGUUCCCCUGCAUUUUCUGAUGUUUGAUGACACUAUCCUUUAACUACAGCAAUCAUGACGGUCUUCCAGAAGAUGUUCAGCAGUGUAGAUGGAAAAGCACGUUGUGGUGCUGGUGCAAUUUGCAAGGUGGAGGACAUUUCCUUCAAAAAAAGGGUGGAGGACAUGCACAUCAUUGUUUUUCUUUCCAAGUAUCAUGUCUGGUCCUUGUUCCUGUGUUUUCCUAUAUCAAGAUUAAUGAUGCAUCCAUUUGUUAGUUUGAUACUUGCAAAAUAAAUAUGAGUCACCUAGGGCAUUGUUAGAGCAUCUCCAACAGCAUAUGUAAAACUCAUGAUCUAAAAACACUUUUAGGUAUAGGAGAGAGAAAAAUUUAGGUACUCCAAAGCUGCCUUCUCCAACAGCAUAUAUAAAACUGGUGACCUAUAAUCCUUUCAAGGGCUAAUCUGCGAAUGAAAUUUUUAUUUAGGGUCACUCUAUAAACUUGACUUAUCUUCUUCUUCCCCUCCUCCCCCUUCUCGCCAUCACUACUCCCUUCUUCCCUACCUUGCCGCCGUUGCUCCCUGCCUCGCCACCGUACCGCUCUUCUUCUCCCUUGCCCCCGCGCCGACGCUGCUAGGCCGGCGGAGCUCGUCCGCACGAUGGCGUUUGCCCGCCCGUCCCGUGGCUAGGCCGGCACCGCUCGCUCGCGCAGCGGCUUUUCUGGGCUGGCGGAGCUCGCACGCGCGGCGGCGCUCGCCCCUUGAGGUCUCCCGGUGGCACAGGAUCAACGAAUCAAGCUCCAAUCGCAGGAGGGAGGCCGGCGGAGCUUGGCCGCAGCGGCGCCAAAUCGAGGAGCCGUUGCCCCCAAAUCGCCGCCGAAGGUAGAUUGGUGGAGCCACGCCUGCUCGGCGCACGCCUGCCCGGGGGCUGGGGCGGCGGAGCCUCACCCGCACGAGUCGUAGCGCCGUCCGUGUUGCAACUCGCCGGAGCUCAGGAACAAGAUGAGAGCGGCGGAUUGUGCGGCGGAGGGGUGGAAGGCAAAUCGGUGAUGGAGGGGUGUGGGUAGGCCAGCAGUGAGGUCAGCUGUGAGGUCCAGUGGCCGGAGGAGUCACCAUCGGGGAGAGCGUGGCGGCGGAAGCGUCCAAAGCGAGGUAGUUGGCCUUCCCGCAUGAGUGCUUGCAGUUUUACCAAUCUAGUGUUGGAUUGGUAUAUUUGCAUAUUGGAGAGAGAAAUUUAGGUCAUAGGCUAAAAAGUUUAGGGAUAGCAAUCCAUAUAGCAAAGCAGUUGGAGCAGUUUUUUUGGCUGUUUUAGGUAUCCUGGCAGUUUUGGGAUAACAAUCUAUUUUACAUAAGCUGUUGGAGAUGCUCUUAGAUGCACAUAUUGAUUACUUCACAUAUAUCCAUGUCCUGCUUCAACUUCCACUCAUGCUUGUGUUGCUAUUGCUACUGACACCAUGUUGAAGUUUAGAACCAGUGCUUCUUCAGAGCUGCUCGUGUUCCGGUGUUAUUUUCUGCAAAAAAUAUAAACUAGAUCUACUUUGCUUGGAUUUAGUCUCCUUUUCCUUUCAGAUUAAGGGUUACUCUACUAGGAUACUUUUAGCGAUAUUUGUUUGGCGUUGCAAUGAGCUCACUGACCUUUAAGCCUCUGCCUUGCAGGAUAUAGAUUGUUUGGAAACAAAGAUGGUUGUUAGGCUGUGAACGAGUGAGUUAAUCGUCGUCACAGGGAGUAACCAGGGCCUAAGCGGCUACGUGUGAUGCCGAUAGGUACAUAAACUACAUAUCGGAGGAACAGGGACCAAACUACUGGCAGAACAGGAGACUACAGAGAUGUCGAGGCUGAUUUUGAGAAAAAUAUGUUAGUAUGCUCAGUUUGCAUACACCAUCCCUCCUCAAAUCCUCAAAGUUACAGGACCCGCCUCAGCUUUAUUGUUCACUGGCUUGGACCUUCAUUUGUACUUUGGAGAAAUGGAUCAAAUGAGACAGGGAACUCAGUUUCUCUGAGAAGCAAAAAAUGCAGCACCAGAUGGGUUUAGCUGUUAGAAAUCAGGACAAUUCAAUACAAAGCCACGUGUGGGAAAUAUACGGCUUGGACAUGAAGAUACAGCUUUAGUGUAAGAAUAAAUUUCAUUCUGAGAAACAAUGUAUGAUUCUUUCCCCUGUAUCUAGAAAACGAAGGGGAACAAUACAGAGCUUUUUCAGCGGAUGUGAUACGUAUUCAUUGUUUCCUCGCAGUUCUAGAUUGCACACGUCCAAUUUAUAUCAGCUGUCCAAGUAUAUAUAUGAAUAUUUAUUGAAUGCGUACAAAAUGUAACCUACAUUUAUUACUUUUCAUCUCUUAGGGAGAAGAAAAGGAAUGAUUCUUGUUUGGGCUUAUUGUUGCGGGCUAUAUGAAAGGCCCAAUCUCGAAGCCUUGGGGGGGAAAAAAGACAUCUGCAUCCCCUAAACCUCGCAAAAGCCCAACCCAAACCCUAGCACCCCGCGAACGGCAACCUCCCUGGUCCGAUGGAUUUCGCUCACCGGAAGGCGGCGGCGCUGGCCGCGCUCUCCUCGCCGGCGCCGGACAAGUCCCCGAAGGGCGGCGUUGACGCUCCCAUCGCCCCGCUCCUCGAAGUGCUCAACUCCCAUCCAGACCUCUUCACUACCUCCUCCUGCUCCGGCCGCGUUUCCGUCCUCGCGCAGCCGCAGGAGGGCCAGGGCCAGGGCGCCGCCAAGCCGAAGAAGAAGGCGCGCGGCGGCGGGUGGGUGUACGUGUCGCACGACCCCGCCGAUCCGGACGCCGUGGUGAAACAGCUGUUCGGUGGGAGCGGCUCGGGAGCGGCUGGGGACGAGCUGGUGUUCAGGUUCGAGCCGAUGAUCGUGGCGGUGGAGUGCAGGGACGCCGCCGCAGCUGCGGCGCUCGUCGCCGCCGCGAUCAGCGCUGGUUUCCGGGAAUCAGGUGAGCUGUCCCUUUAUUGGCUCAGUAAUUCAGUAUGUUGGGUAGAGCUUUGUAUUCCUCGAACAACUUAGCAUUGCAUCCUUUCAAUCAGUGUUUUGCACAGUAUUCAAUACAUGGAUAUGUGGAGUUAUUUCUGAAUCCAUCUGUGAUUAAUCACAUGGUUCAUUUUAGUCAGUUACAUAGGGCAGUUUUAGAGAUAUAUGAAUAUAGUAAAGUAACUCAGUGUGAACUGUCAACGUCUGUCUACCAUGUAUUGCUGAGGUUUUAUAUUAGGUUUCACUUGUCUUGAUGUUGCUUAUCUACGUGAAUAUCAUAUUAAGUUAGUUUAAAAAUUGAUUAAUCUCAUUUUUAGGUAUCACAAGCUUGCAGAAACGUGCAAUGGUGGCAAUAAGAUGCUCGAUUCGUAUGGAAGUGCCAUUGGGGCAGAUUGAUGAACUUGUUGUUUCUCCGGAGUACAUCCGUUACCUUGUCAGAAUUGCCAACUGUAAAAUGGAGGCAAACAAAAAACGAAUGGAUGGAUUUCUAGAUCUUUUGCAGACUGAGGUACUGAGCUAUUUUGAAAUCAAUGCUUUUGUUACUAAUAGUUACUAUUUGUCUUAUUGUAUUCCUGGCACUGUUGCUCACUUUUUUGUUAAGAGUAUGCAUGACAAACAUAUGUUUCGAAUCUUUGGAUAUUAUGUAAGUCCAAAAAUGUUUUUUUGAUGAAUGUUCAUUAGGCGAAGAAUAAACUCGGAUUGUGUUUAAUCAAUGGAACCCUACUCUUAAUAGAACCUACUUAAUGAGCUGAGUAAGAUUUUUCAAGCAGAUGGAAACAUUUACUUCAUCUUGAUUUAUAAAUACUUGUCCAAUAAGUUAUUUAUCCAUUUAUACAUUAUACAUUUCCUCACAAUUUCUAACUUCAAUCCAAUCCCUCUCUUCACAGAAAAAAAUAUAUAUUGUUCUGGAAGUUUGUGUAUUGCCCAAAAUUCAACUUUGACUAUCAUGAUGACCUUGAUUAUUAUCACGUUCCCAGAAUUUUUUUUAACAUGUUGGUUCCUAUCAAACUGCCAGGGUUUGUCAGGUUCGCCAGGGUUGUUAAAUAAUUGUAACGGAAGUAAUAGUCAGACUGUUGAUCACAGGGCUUCCCUGGGUUGUGAAGUUAAGAUAUCAUUGGAUAAAGGUGCCAAGAAAAAUAAUGACUUAGUUACAAAAAGGAGAAAUGGUGGUAAAAACUGUGAUGCUGAUGACAGAGGUGAUAGUGAAAUCGGGGAAGGUUCACUAGAAGCACAGUAUUUUGAAAAUCAAGACCCUACAUGGAGCAAGGGCGCCGAGCAUGGUUUUGGUAAUGCUAAACGGCAUGUUCUCUUAUCUCACCUUUUCUUAUCUUGUUCUUCAGUUUUUCAUAGAUUGGUAUUUAAAUUUAUUAGUCUGUUCAGCCUGAAAUGGCUGUUUGACAAAACUUGUUUUCUUCAAAAAGGUGCAUUGCAGUACAUGCUACGGUUCUAUGUUGGACCGCUGACUUGUUUUCCAUGUUUGUAUAUAUGUUAAUGCUUUAAAUACUAUCUUGUUGAACAUUAGCUGAACUAAGAGAGAAAUCAUUUUCCAUCUUAUUUUUAGUAAAAAUAUUUUUUUCCUUGUAGCAGAUUAGGUGAUGGUAUCAUGUUAUUAAACCAUGGUUUUCCUGCACUAUUUAAUGAGUUGGUGGUCCUGCACCAAUUUAGGGUACUUUAGUUUUCUGACCAAAAUCCAGUAGCUCUGAGCCUUUGACUGAAUAUUGUUUAUUUGUCCUGUUAUGUUCUAUAUAGAGUAGUGCUGGAGGAGAAGUUGCCCGGAAACAAAAAGUAUCAUCUAUCUACUGCUGCAUUGAAGAUUAGUGGAGAACCAAUCGAGAAGCUCUUAUUAUGGGGCCAAUCAUCUUGUGUGUUUCCUGUUGGAGGAGAGCAACGGGUCCUAACUUUUGGUGGUUUUGGAGGACCAGGAAGGCAUUCAAGGAGAAACUAUUCCCUUCUGCUUGAUCACAAAUCUGGUUUGUUGACAGAGAUGAUCUUUAAAGAGUCUCCUUCACCACGGAUGGGCCAUACGGUUACUUCUGUUGAUAAUAGCACCUUUGUUAUUGGAGGUAGGGGUGGUCCUUCAGAAAUUCUUGAUGAUGUCUGGGUCUUACAAAGCACUGAGAAUACCUGGUUAAGACUGGAGUGCAGUGGAAAUAUCUUCCGCCCAAGGUACUGUUUAGAUUAAACCCUUGAUCCCCCUUCCACCUUUUCCUUUACAUGAUACGUGCUUGCCAAAUGGAGACUCAAAACGUCGGUGGUAGAUUAAUUAGUGUUCAAAUUUUGUUUCUGUGACAAUUCUUUUCAUUUUUUCUGAAGCAACCUCUGAAUAUGGCAGGAAGUUCCUGCAGUUCACUCUAGGUAGAAAAGAGUUGGCCCAUUUCUGUUCAUUGAAGUUUUCUGUUUCUUUAUGUAGGCACCGGCAUGCUGCAGCUGCAGUAGCUUCAAAAAUAUAUGUCUUUGGUGGACUUAGUAAUGAAGGCUUAUAUUCCUGCAUGAAUAUACUUGACACGAAAAGUAUGGAAUGGAGCAUGGUUGCUGCUGCUGGCGAAUGGCCGUGUGCUCGACAUUCACAUUCUCUGGUGUCUUAUGGUUCAAAGUUAUUCAUGUUUGGAGGUCAUGAUGGUCAACAUGCACUGAAGGACUUCUACAGUUUUGAUACAACAACACUUGAGUGGAACAAGGAAAGCACAUACGAGGGAACUCCAUCACCUAGGUUUUCACAUUGCAUGUUCAUCUACAAAAAUUAUCUUGGGAUACUUGGGGGUUGCCCUAUUACAGGAAACAAUCAAGAAGUUGCAUUGCUAAACUUAAAGCAUGGAGUCUGGUUGUCUGUUUCCAUUCCCUUGUUGAGCCAGUGCCUCUGUGUCCGUAGUUCAUCGAUUGUCAUUGAAGAUCAUCUUGUUAUUUUAGGUGGUGGUGCAUCUUGCUAUGCAUUUGGGACCAAAUUUAAUCAACCAAUAAUAGUUGAUCUGCAUUCAGUGGACUCUAUGUUUAAACAUGAUGACAAGAAGGAUGGCACGCCUGUACAAAGUUGUGAUGCAAUCCCUACUGUUGACUUAUCAAGAGAUGAAAAAAAGGGUCAUGAUAAGUCACAAAAUGAUUCUCAUUCUGGUGGUUUUACUGAUUCAGGCCCUCUGGUUCUUCAACUGGAAAAGAAGUAUGCUAAAUUAGCAAAGGACAUUCUGAAAAAGUUUGGAUGGUUGGAUCUUGCUAGAAAAGUUCGAGUGAGCCAUGAUAACAGCCAUGUUCUUUUUCCUGUCAAUGAAGUCUUCCAUGUCCUAAAUACUGAUGACCACAUGAUGAUGGAACAUAAGUCAUGUAACCUUGAUGAAACGUUAGCAUUUACUGAAAAGAAGCUUGCGGGAGAUAACGUAUCUCUUCAAAAUGCAUUAAAAUUUUUGUCAUCUUGCAAUGGUUCCUUUUUGAAAGAUGAACUAGCCAUCAGCCGAAAGCCUUCCAAGUCUCCUCAAAACAUCAUGAAGGAACUUGUAUCUUCUCUUCUAGAAACUAAAGGAAUGCCCUCUCAGUUGUUGGAGCAGCUCCCAGCAAGGUUUGUUUUCUCUGAUGAGAAUAUCUAUUGCUGUUACGACUAUGGAUUUGCUUAAGUUUCAUUCUUAUGUGUAGGUGGGAGAUACUUGGUGACAUCAUCAUACUCCCAAAGACAUGUUUUAAGGAUCCAUUGUGGGAAUCGGUUAGCGAGGAACUCUGGCCACUAGUUGCCAAGUCACUCGGCGCACAACGUCUUGCACGUCAAGUAAGUGCUGGCUGAAUUCUUGGUUUCUGUUUUCUAAGUUAUUGGAAAUAGGAAUAAUUACCAUAUUAUUGUGAAGCUCAACGCCUAUUUGUGUAGCUAAUUGAUAAUGUUUGUUGUCCUGCUGUUACUCUUAAUUAAAGUCAGUAUCUUGUAUGGUGUCUCAUGCUUAAUUGCAUCUCAAUAUUAGAUAGUGCUUUUCUAAUAGUUUGUAACUAGUGGCAUGCAUGUGGUUACCCUGCCAAGCAUUUUUUUCUCUGGGGAUUCUAUAUAAUUUACUCCGUCUGCCCCCUUUUGUGCAGGGUAAAAUCAUACCAAAUGGUACAAGAGAUAGUACACUGGAACUUCUUCUGGGUGAUAACGGAUGGGUUACCCAUCAUGAAAAUGGCAUCUGUUAUUCACUUGAUGCAACAAAAUGUAUGUUUUCUUCUGGUAACCGUUCGGAGAAGCUUCGCAUGGGACAGCUUGACUGUAGAGAUGAGGUGGUUGUGGAUUUGUUUGCUGGAAUCGGAUACUUUGUUCUCCCAUUUCUCGUGAAGUAUGUUCUCUGUGAUAACCUUGGUCUAACACAUUCUGAUUAUACAAAAAUGCUGUUCUAAAUUUCUUACUCUUGCAGGGCUAAUGCUAAGUUCGUUUAUGCAUGUGAAUGGAAUCCACAUGCUCUGGAGGCUCUUCGACGCAAUGUUUGUGACAACCACGUACAGGAACGAUGUAUUAUACUCGAAGGAGAUAACCGUGUGACUGCACCCAAAGUAUGUACUGGGCAAAUUUCACCUUUUUGCUAAUACAUGAACUAGGAUGGUUCCUGACCUUUCUUUUUUCAUGCUGGACUUGAAUUAGGGUGUUGCUGAUCGAGUUUGUCUCGGAUUGUUACCCUCAAGUGAAUGUAGCUGGGCCACUGCUGUUAGAGCUUUAAGGUGAUCCCUCCGCAUCACUGAGUUGUUUCAAUCUUGUUUAUUUCGUUGUGUGUUUCUCAUAGUAUUCCAUAAAGAUGUAAAUGUAGAGGCCUAGGUAAGCUUGUCUUGGCCUGCUCGCAUGGGGCCAACUGAGUUUAUUGUUUCUGUUGCACUAUCAGCAGCAGCCUUCAACAGUCAAGGAGAUUAAGUAUUGUUUGAGCUGGUUUUGUGAGGAUUCUAGUUGUGUUUCAGAGUCAGUUGGGAAUUGGAUGUACCUGUUACCUUUUGGAAAGUUGUAUCUAUUUUAGGAUUGGUUUGUUCAUCAUGCUCAGCUAGGAUAUCGAGUCCAUAUAAAUCUGGAUAGUCCUUAUAAACAAUAGCAUUUUACCCUGUUUAAACAAAAAAAGGUUUCCCUAUUAUAAUUGUUAUUGAGUUAUUCUCAAGCCCUCUAGCUUUUCUCUUCUGCGCCUGCUGCCCUUUUGUAAUCGCCAACCAUACCCACCUGUUUGUAAGUGCCCACAACAAUUUCCCAUCGAAAUAUUUUUUCAGAAGAUUCUAAAUGUUCUUUAAAUUCAAACCCAGCUUAGAGGCGCUAGUCUGACAUAUUCCAGAAUGCUUACUGCUUACAUGCUAAUUUUUGCAUGCUUCCAAUAAUAAUCAGUAGCAUACUGUUAGGUUGUCUGCACACUGAAAAUGCCUGCAUAGUGUUGCUUUCAGUGUGCCACGCAUUGACAUGCUGAGCUGGUAAAGAAGUGUUGAAAUAGUGAAUAUGUGGCCUCACAUGAAAACAAGUUGUCUUUUCCAUUGCAUGCAAUAUGAAAUUGUGGGCCAAAAAGGAGAACACCCCCCCCCCCCCCCAAAAGACAUCACAUCUAUCGUAAAGGUGGGGACCUGUUUCCUUGGACUGUUCGUGGGAUGUUCUCUAAAUCUCGUAAAUGUGAUGACUAUUUUGCGCUAAUGCCAGAGUUUUAUGGUUGAUACAUGAUGCAUGAUCUGUUCUUUAGGAUAUGCUAUAAUGUUGCUUUGUUAGAAUUAUUAUUACAUUAUUGGUCUUGUAUUCAAAAUGCCCUUGUUACCAAAGUAGAUUCUGGAUUAGAGUUUGGUAUUCAGGAUGUAGAAGUUUUUAUAGGGCUAAUGUUGGUGUCUUGUACAUUUUUGUUUAUGAUACGACAAGAUCCAUGAAUUCAGUUAGCCUGUGUCUCAGUGGCUUGAGUGAGAACAGUAGCAUAAAUGCGAUCAAGCAAGCCUUACCUUUUAUGCUUAGUGCAGUGACUACACAAAGAUUAGUAUAUUUCAAAUGACUUGACAUAGUUGGCUUUGGUUGUAAUGAGCAGCCCUAUUGUUUUUCUGCUUGAAUNNNNNNNNNNNNNNNNNNNNNNNNNNNNNNNNNNNNNNNNNNNNNNNNNNNNNNNNNNNNNNNNNNNNNNNNNNNNNNNNNNNNNNNNNNNNNNNNNNNNUUUUUUGAAACCCGGGUAAGUUUUUUUGUUGGGCCCUGUCCCCCUUUUUUACCCCCCCCAAACCCCCUUGUUGGUAAGGCCCCCAAAAAAUUUCCCCAGGAAAAUUUUUUUUCGAAGAUUUCAAAUUUUUUUAAAUUUAAAACCCCGGCUGGGGGGGGUUUUUGGAAAAUUUCCGGAAAGUGUAAGGGUUAAGGGUAAAUUUUCGCAGUCUCACAAAAAAAACAGGAGGGAACUUUGGGGGGGGGGUGACCAAGAAAAAACCCAAAAAAGGGGGUUUUUUACGUGGCCCCGACUUGGCAAGGGGAUGUGGUAAAGAAAGGUUAAAAAAAAGAAAAUGGGGCCCCACAAAAAAAAAAGGUUUUUUUUCCCUUCCUAAAAAAAAAAAAUUUGGGGCCAAAAAAAAAAACCCCCCCCCCCCCCCCCCCCCCCCCCCCCCGGAAUUCGCUAGACUGCCAUGUGCUGCAUUACGAACAUCUCAUGUUCAGAUCCUACUCUUGCUAUGUGUAGGGUUGAAGGAGGCAUAUUGCAUAUACAUGGGAAUGUCAAUGACUCGGAUGAGACACGGUGGCUGGACAAUGUUGUUGAAUCCAUCAGUAACAUUGCCAAAGCUCACGGUAAAACUGCUGACAUGCUUUUUUGAUCUGUUGCCAACCAUUUCUUGUUGCUCUCCAAGAGUAUCACGAGUGCUAUGUCUCUAUUCUUAUACACCAUUCCCUGGCCUUUGUAAUGCAGGACUAUCUUGGAGUGUCUCUUCGGAGCAUGUCGAACGUGUCAAAUGGUAUGGGCCACAUAUUCGACACCUUGUGGUUGACGUAAGAUGCCGGCCAAUCUAACAAAGCAAACGCGUUGAGAAAUGCAUUCUGUACUUACCGGGCCCUGGGAUGCUCGGGCGCAUUGUUGCAUACUGUAUUGUACUACAGUUAUGUUCGAUCGUGUUUUAGCCCAGGAGUUGCUUUUUACUCUCGUAUUAGCCAUCAGGGAGCCUCUGUAACCUUAAAAAAACAUGUUAUUGACGAAAUUUGCAACUACAGCAAAGUUGCGUUCUUGUACGGAUUAUUUUAUGUACCAUUUUACAUUAAAGAUAAUUUAUGCUGUUUCUGAACAUUUUAGUAGUUAUUUCUGCAGUUGCUAAUGGCAUAGCACACUGUUGGGUAUUUGCAUUGAUUCCGGUAGAGGUCAUGGGACUCUAGUGAAAAGUAUAAUACAAGCCUAUUUUAUUUUGAAGAGGAAACAAUACGUAUGUUGUAUAUUUCUGCCAAUACUUGGGCAGAUUACAAGUAUGUUUAGGGCCUGUCGAGGUAUUUUUACUGACCAUGAUUUUGGUAAUUGCAGCACUAAUGCAGUAUUUUAUUCAAGAAGGCUAACCGAUAUAUACGGCACAAUUUUCAUGAAAACCUCGCAUGUCAUACUGCUUUGUCCCAAAAGAAACAAAAAGGAGUGGCACUUGUUUUAUAUUUUUAAGUCUAGUUGUUUUAAGUUUAAAUGGAUUUAUAUGGAAAAAAAAGUAUCACCAUCUAUGCCAUCAAAUAUGUAUGUUGUAUGGUAUGAAAUAUAUUUCAUGACAAAUUUAAUAAAACUUAUUUGGUAUUAUAAAUAUUGGUGUACUUUUUAUAAAUUUUGUAAACUUUUAGAUGGUUUAACUUAGGACGGAGUUAUGAGUGUAUUUUUUUUUUGGUGGGGUGGGGUUGGGGAGGGGGGAGAUUGAAGUUAUUUCUUUCGACGCUGAUUGAUUACGAGAGUCUAUCACAGCUUCAAUGUUGAGAAAAAAAAUUGGAGAGUAUGAGCGGAUUUUUUUUAAUAUGACAUUUUUUAAAAAGAAACACCUUGAAGUUCUUGAUACUAUUGUAUUUUGCGAAACAACUAUGAUAUUUCUUCAACACUAAAAAAAAAUUCAGCCCCCUAGGAUACACAGUAGAAACUAUACAAUUGGAUACGUAUCUUACCAUGAUUUCAUGCUACAUUGUUGAGAACAUAAUUGAAAGCGAGAUUUUAACAGACCAAAUUAAGAUGCAAAAUGCACUUUUUAUUAGAUGAACUUCAAUAAACAGAAGAAAGGGACAUUAAGAUACUACAAGGCAAAAAAACACGAGCAAAAAAGAUAUACACAAUCAUCUCUCAACAAUGCAAAAGCAACGUCCAUUGUAAGCCUUCAUCCAGCUACCAAGUACCAACCAUGAAGGAAAAAGAGCAAAAAACAGUUACUAAUGGUACACCGUUUCUACAAUGGGAACAUGCUACUUGAGCCUCAUCGGCUGCUGCAUCCCUCCUCUCAUCAUAGCGCAAAAUUCCUCAUAGUUAAUUCUUCCAUCCUGGGACAGGCAAAUGACCAGCAUCAAGAAGAUGGAAGGAAUACAUGUAAUGCAGCAGAAAAGACGAUAGUGUAAGCAGCUUACAUUGUCCGUGUCAACUUCUGAUAUGAUCUCCUUUAUCGUACUCGUGUCGCCCAUCUCAUGCUCGAUCAAAGCUGACUCUAGCUCAUCUCUUGUGAUGAAGCUGCAUAAUGUCAAGGUAAUCCUCCAUGUUAAACAAAAACAAGUUAUGCAUAAGACGUACUUUGGAAGAAAUUGGUGCUAAUAAAUGUGAACCUGUGAUAGUAUUAUAACCAAUAGUUUAGACAAGUUUUGAUGGAAAAAGAAGGGGUGACUUAUUGGUUAGCAUUUGAGAUGUCAAUUUGAAGUACUCACCCACUGUUAUCUUUAUCAAAGUACUGGAAUGCCUUGAACAAAUGCUCAUCUCGUUCGAGCUUGUGUCUAUGCAUUGUGGCAGUGAUGAACUCAACAUAGUCAAUGGAUCCAUUCCCAUCAACAUCAGCCUGGAAAAUGCCAAAAGGUAAGCAUGCAAGGAAGCCAAGAACAAGAUUCCGAAAGUGUACAGUAACUUAAUUCCAGAUUAGAACAUACAGCCUCCAUCAACUGCUUUACUUCAGCUUCUGACAGCUUUGAUCCAAGUUUGGCUAAUCCUGCUUUGAGUUCUUCGUAUGUGAUUGUACCACUGUUGUCUGUGUCCAUGUUCAUGAACAUUUGCUUCAAGCCCUUGAUCUCUUCCUCAUUAAGGUUUGAAGCAAUAACCUGCACAUACAUUUGGUAAUAAGCACAAAUGAAGGGAAAAAAUAGCUAAGCAAGCAUCAACAUGAAGAUAAUAACCUUCAGAGCCAUCUUUUUCAGCUUAUUCAUUGCUCUGAAUUGCUUCAUUCUAGAAAGAACAGCACUGUCAAUAGGCUUAUCAGAUGCGUCUCCACCUUCUCUGAGCCAAGGAUGUUCUGAUCAAGCAUUUAACGUACAAAUUAUUAUUAUUAUUAUUUCUGAAAAGUUGCUGAAUUAGAAAUUAACGCAGUGCUAGAAGCUUACGAAGAACUUGACCCGAAGUAAGUCUUUUCUUUGGAUCUCGUGUCAACAUCUUCCUAACCAGGUCUUUAGCACUCUCAGAAAUUGAUGGCCAAGGUUGACUUUCAAAGUCAAUCUCCUCAUGCAGAAUAGCAUCAAAUAUCCCCUUUUCGGUUUCUACACAGGAAAGAAGAGGAUAAAUAAACAAAAAAGGAUAGCAUUGCUGCUUAAUAGUAGACAUGUAAUAUGUUGAAGUGGUUCUUAGAGGUACAUGUACCAGCCCAAAAUGGAGGCACGCCACUGAGAAGAAUGUACAACAUAACACCGGCACUCCAAACAUCUAUCUCUUUUCCGUAGCUACGCCUAAGGACUUCAGGAGCAACAUAAUAAGCACUUCCAACAAUGUCCCUGUACAUCUUUCCUGUUAUGUUCAAAAGGCAGCCAGUGAAGAGAUAAUGAGAAAUCCCAAAGCUAGAAAUUUAGGGUCUAAUGCUAUUAAUCAUCAAAAACUUACUGCAGUUUGUUACACCAAGUUCCCUUAAUUAGGAAUUAUAAAAAAAAUAUCCAAACACUGAGAUCACUGAUGGAAAUGUCCAAUGAAAAAAUACGGUCUACCUCCCCACAGCAAGCAAUUUUCUUAUUUUCAUAUAUUCUGCAAUUGCUAACAUCACUAAAUAUUUAUACAUCUCCCCAAAUAUAAGGAUCGCCACUAAGAGGACAAUAAGAUUCUUAAUGUGAUAGCAACUGGGCUUCAAACCAGUCAAACAUUAAAAACCAUUGAGCUAUCAUCACUAGUUUACUAGUGGUUUCUCACUCAUAACUGAUACAGAACCAGCUUCAUAGUAUUCGAUGCCUGAAACUGAACAUGGCAACAAUCACCAGUUUUGGCUGGUUCUCUGUGAAGCUAGGCGGGAUCAACAGGUAUUCAAGUGACUUAAGUACUAUGGCACAUUAUGUUUACACUUUGCAGUAUCAAAAAUGUUGCCCAUGACAUGUCCAAAAAGGUGUGAAUUAUCCACAAGCUCUUGAAUUGCGUGGAAUGAAAAAGUGCCAUAAGUUCUAAUGACCUGAAAUCAGAUUGUAUAUGGAAUGCUAGCCUUAGCUGGGUUGUUCAGCAAUAUGAACACUGAAAACUACAACCAGCCACGAACCUCAACAGAUCAAAGUUCAGAAAUAUAUGUCUAAAUGCUAUUGCAAAUAAUGCACAUUCCAAGCGUACAUAGAUCAUAUAUAUUCGAAUUACCUUCUUCAAUAAAGACCGAAAGCCCAAAAUCAGUGGCCUUGAGCAUUGCAUUCUCCUCCUUAGUUGCGAGCAAGAAAUUCUCUGGCUUCAGAUCACGGUGCAUCACUCCCAUGAAGUGGCAAAUGUUCACAACAUUCACAACUGCUCUGCAGAUUGUAGCAGCUGCCCGUUCUGUGUAGUGCCCCUUAGCAAUGAUCCGGUCGAAUAGCUCGCCACCUGCACAGAGCUCCAUCACCACAUGCACAUUGCUCUUAUCCUCAUACGCUCCCCUGAACUCGACAAUGUUUGGCUGUCCGGACAAAUGCUGCAUGAUCUGGAUCUCCCUGCGGAUGUCCUCCCUAUCUGCCUUGCUGGUGAGCUUGCGCUUAGAGAUGGACUUGCAGGCGUACUGCCUGCCUGUGGCAAUCUCUGUGCAGAGGUAUGUCACCCCGAACUGGCCCCGGCCAAGCUCCUUCCCAAGGGAGUAGACUGUGCGCACAUCCUCGUACUGCUUGCCAAGAAUUGUGUCCCCUGUGGGCUUCGGUGGGACAACUACAGGUGGGACUACUGGAGGGUUCAUCGCCGGCGGCGUGUACCGUACCUCAGUCGGUGGCGGAGGAGCAUUGUAACUGGGAGGUGUAUGUGCUGGCUUUGCCUGGUUAGAAUAGCCAUACCCAUUGGUAACUCCCCGUCCAGAAUCCGGGGCCGUAGCUCUGCUGCAACACUGACCCAUUUCUCUAGUCAAAUUAUUCCUUCGAGUUCCAAGCUUGCAACCUGGCUGCUGAGCAGAUUAGAACUAUCAAGAACUGAACCUGCAGGGAUUCCAAGGAGGAAAGCAAUUGUGUCAAAACAAAGCAAACCAUUCAAGAAAUAUUUAUGUUGUACUUUGAGAGUCAUGAUUCAAGACAAGAUAUCCAAUACUGGAUCUGCAAGCAAAACCCAAACAAUAGGACUCAAUAAAGAAUAGUAGAAGAGUACAAAAGAAGCAAUGCAAAGAAUUGCCUCUGACACGACGUUGACCUCUUUCUACUCUGAACCCAAUUCAAAAAACGCAAGAACUACAAGGAAACAAGGCAGAUGACCAUUCCCUUUGGUGGCACUGGAAGCAAUAAGGAGAUAAGGAUACAGGCAAGUUUAGGUAAAGAGAGGCAAGGAAAAGGGCCACUGAAAGCAACAGCAUCAACAAAGGCAGUCGGCACUGAGACCCAGGGGAAAUAAAGGAAGCCACAAGACCCAGGAUUCCGUAUCGUAGCAAUGGAUUGAUCGAGACAAGCGGAAAAGAUAUAAAUAAGAUAUAACAGCUCGGGACUGCACUAAAAUUUCCCUGUGCGAAGAAUUUCAGAAUACGAAAUCCACUGAAUGGAAGAACAACAGAAGCAAAAAAUAAAAGACGAACAAAUUGCUAAAAGAGGAGGUAUGGAAGUAGACUGCUUCGUACGUGAGGCAUGAGUAACAUGGUAACAGAUGAAGCUGUGUAGCACUACUCCAGAUCCGGAAACACAAGAUUCUACUCGCGACCAAGUGAAACCUACCAAGCUUCCAAGAACGAAAAAAGGGGACGAUAAUCCCCGCACGGAAUCACACAGCAACCUCCCCGAUCCAAGAAACCAAGAACUGGGCUAGCAGACACACCUACCUACUGAGAGGAACAGGAUUCCAACCUCAAGAGACCCGCGGAAGCAACCACCCCUCCACCGCAGGAAGAACUGGGCUCAGGAGAUAGGUCUAAAGAUCAAAUCUUGGAGGAGCAGCGGAGAAGGUUAGGAGGGAGGACAGAGCAAGGACAGCUCGGCGCGGCGACCGCGGGGAGUGGAUUGGAGGUGGUGGCCACCGCAAUUGGCGCCCCCGCGUCGAUCGUGACAGCGACUAAUCCACACGGGGCCGGGAGCUAAAGAUCUCGCAGCGAGUAAAAUAGCCAGGCCGAAUUUCUCCAAGGAAAAGGUUGACAGGGAGAAGAAAUGGGGGCGGCGUGUCUUGAGAAAAAAAAAAAGCUCUAACCUUGCUUUGCUGUCAGUUUAGAUAUUUGCGUUGCUUUACGGGAAGACGCGAAUGGGGGGCGGCGGUUUUGCGAAAGGACCCUCUGGGUUUGUCUAUAUUAGGUGCAAACACGCCUAAUUUCCAUGAUUAAGGUUCUGCUUGUUCUAGUUCUAGCUUAACAGAAUAUGGAUUGCGGCUUGCGUGUUAUUGUCAUCUGCCAGAUAAAACAAAGUAACAAACACCAUGCAGAUUGUAAUCGUAACCUAGGAGCUAAAACAAACAAGGAUAAAAACAGAGGAAAGCCUGAUUCAUUACCUUGCAUACUUCCUGUGUUUAUUAAAGAUAAAAAAAUGAUUUACUUUCUCAAACUACUGGAUUGAUGGUCAAUUGCUGCUUGUCAAUGCAAGCUCUCUUCUCCCAGACAUCACGCCAUCAUCUUCAACCUUUUCACUUUUGGUAUUUUAGCUUAACUUUUUUUUGCGAAAAUUUCUUUAGCUUUGAACUUGAAGGACGCUUGAGUAAUAAAAACUGCGAAGAUUUUUAUUGUGUGUGCGUGCCCUGCUAUGUUCUUUUUUAAAAUAAAAUAAAAAAAAUCAGCCCUGCUAUGUUUAAACUUGAAGGACGCUUGAGUAAGAAAAACUUUAGAGAUUUUACUGUGUGUCCGCCCUGGUACGCUUUGAAAUGGACAGGCUCUAUGCUCUGACGCAGAAAAGGAAGGAGGUUAAUAACACGCAAUAGAAAAUUCUCGGACAAGAUGCGAGAUCACAUCUGACGAUCCUUUUUUUGUUCCACUGCAUGUUUAUCUUCUACGCGCUUUCUCAGUCGUCCAACUGCAGUGCGGUAAACUAAUGAUUCCCUGACAGCUAGUGCGAUUAAGGAGAGAUUUAGUUAAUCGCGUGGCAUCUUGAGGUACGAUUAGUCCUGUCCAUGACUAUAAAGCUUUGAUAGUUUAAGUUAACGACCCUGUUAGUUGACUAGGUGUUGAGCGAGGAUAUGGUUUAGGUUCGUGACAGUCUACCUGAUCACGCAAAGAUUCUCCCGACGGGGAAUGUUUUUGGUGCCGUGGAAUAGAUGACUAGACGUGCAAAGCACCCAAGCAUGUCAUCCUUUUUUUCAUAUAUUUAUUACUGAAGCAAGAUUAUGUUUUUCUUUUUUAAAUAUCAAUCCUCAUAUAUAUGCAAGGGCAUCUCCUGAAUAUGAGUUAUGUAUAUGUCAUUACUCAUUAACAAUUUUCUCACUAAACUAUCGACAGUUCUACGAAUUUAAACCUCCUUUGAAACAUAGGAUUCAUUUAGGGAUUUGUAGGAUUGAAUACUAUACAGAUUUUCCUGUAUAUGGCUUAUUGGAAUAAGGGUUGAUGGCAGUUCUUUGGAACAUAGGAUCCAUAGAGCAAAUUUGGAGGAAAUUUAAUAUGAGACCUAACUACUUGUAAAAUUUCUAAUCCUCUUUCUUCAUAUAUUGCUUCCAAACACUCUAUUAGGAACUUUCAUGUGUUUCCAAUUCUCAUAGGAUUGCAAGUGAUGUGUGACUCCAAUCUUCAAUAAUCCUCCGUUACAAAGAGACCCUAUUCAUAUGGAAUAAAAUAUUAUAUAAUCUACAUGUGUCUGAGUGCACUACAAAUUGAUUACUAAUUGAUAUGUCUCUAUGUGGAUUUAUAAAUCCUAGAAAGGGACAAAUGACUCAUCUUUCAUCAAAAUGGACCCGCACUAACGCUCCGGUCUUAUAAACUUCCUUAUCACACUCUCCUCUCAGAGAGGGCACUCCCAUCCAAUCCCACCGUAGUCCCCAAACUCUUAUCCACCUCCAUAACCAACCUGUUGCUCCCCUAACAUUUAUAUUGGUGUCAACCAUCCUCUUUCCGAUGCCUCAACGAAUCCACGUAAGUCAAGGGGGUGUUUGUUUCUUUAGUCCCUCCUAAAAUUCCUAUCACAUCGAAUGUUUAGAUACUAAUUAGGAAUAUUAAACAUAGACUAAUUGCAAAAUCAAUUGUACAAAUGGAGACUAAUUUGCGAGACGAAUCUAUUAAGCUUAAUUAGUCCAUGAUUUGACAACGUGAUGCUACAGUAAACACGUGCUAAUGAUAGAUUAAUUAGGCUUAAUAGAUUCGUCUCGUGAAUUAGCCUCCAUCUGUGUAAUUAGUUUUAUAAUUAGCUCAUAUUUAGUCCUUCUAAUUAAUCUCCGAAUAUUCGAUGUGACAUGAAUUUUAGUCCGGACUAAAGGUCCAAACACCCCGUAAGAUUGAUCAUGUUGCAUGCCAUUUUUCAUUUAAAUUCCAGUGACGUGAACUCUGAUAGACAACCGAUGCAAAUCGUGCUCUAUAACAAUAUACCUAAAUUCCCAUCUAUUCAUGAUAACCUCUUUCACAACUUUAAUCUUUGUCUAGGUCUAGUCAUGGGUCCUGACAAUCACGUUACACCUUUUUUUUUUUUGCUUGUUUGCUGAGGGUAUGCAUGGAAUCACUGCAAGCAGCAAAGUUGGUAGGAUGGGCAUGUCCAUGAUUGUUCCUGGUGGGAGAAGAGACAAAGUGGCCUGUGAAAACAAAGUUGUUGAGGUGGUGGGAGGGGUUAGGCAAGGCAGGCCGUGAUUUGGACGCUGGUUACGCGCACAUGCCGCACGUUGUUGUUUACUCGGCAGAGCCCAUCUUUCCUGUCAUCCCCUGCCGCGGCGGACGCCACAUGUGCCGGGGCCGGCCGCCUCAAUUCCCAAACCCCAACGGACUCAACCGGCGGGAUUCAUUUGUUUAUGUGCGACUUGGGCCCGUCCAUCAAUGCAGGUAGGGCGGUGGCGUAGAUCACUGUUGAAUUUGAAUAUCUGCCGUCCCGAAUUUACUACUCCUAUGUCAGUGUUUGAAUUUUCCGCGAUUUCAUCCGUACUGAAUUAGUAAUUUCCAUAAUAUCUCAAACGAAAUGCCAUUGCAAUCCCGCACAAGUAUUUCUUUGGGUGCGAAAUUGAUAUUACACUCUUUGUGUCACUGUCGUUGGACAAAUUACCGAGCAGUAGUACCGUACAUUGGAGCCGAGCGUUGUUAAGAAGUUAAUUGGAAGGACCAUACUAUUGUCAAAUUGGUAAUUGUGGGAACCGCAGUAUCUGGUACAGGGUGUUUUCCAUCCUCAGAAUACUAUUGUCUCAGAAUACUAUUGUCGUUUUGAUUUUUUGAUUUAUAGACUUUGCUAUGUACUUAGAUAUACGUUAUGUCUAAAUACAUAGAAAAACUAUGACUAGAAAAUCUAAAAUGACGAUAAUUUGAAACGCAGGGAGUAUAAGGAGAAAACAGCUGAUGAUCGAUAAUACCCGAAGGACACAUCAAGAGAAAAGGAGAAGAAAUCGCUAUUAGAAUCAGUACGGUUGAGCUAGGUGGAGUAGCUGGAGUUCAUCGAUUCAUUUGACCAGCUCUCACCUUCAGUUCAGAUAAGAGGGGCAGCUGUUUACUCCACUGAUGAGCAACGUGCGACGCAUCAAGCUCUGCUUCGUGGCGCAAAUUAUUGGUGCGAGGAUCUGAAGUGUGUGGAGUUUAAAAUUAAUCUUAAUGCACAAUUUUAUUGUAGUGUUACCUAAACUGUAAACUAAGUAAUUGUGCCUGCUGAAUUUCAUGGGGAUGAAAAUUUCUCUCUCAAUUUAUGAAACUCCAUCAUCUCUCUUCUCAUAAAAUUACUGAUGCAGUAUAGAAAUUAAUGCUGAUGAAAAAAUUUUAAUGAAACUUCCUGGGACAGACUUAAUUCGGUGCCGGCAUCGGAUCGCGUGAAUCUGGACAAACGACUCCUUGGUUCGAUGCCGUGGUUUGCAUACACGUCCCCCUCGUCAAAAGUCCCUGCUAUGACCAUACAACUCUUUAUAUAUUUUUUUUUAUAAUUUGCCGCGCCAGCGAGCUUCAGUUAUAAUACUGGCCUUACAGGGGAGGGUUAACUUGGAAGCCUUCUUUAUCAAUUAUCAUUCUCCUGACGGAUCUUUCUCUUCAUUUUCCAAACCACCUGGCUGCCUUGGCCUCUUUUUUUUUUUUGAAAAGUAACUGCCUUGGCCUCUACAACCACUCCAAGCAAAGUAGCAAACCGUCUAGCCCCACUUGGCACACAACCACACCACGGCAAGUGGUUUCGGUGGGGCGUAUACCACACGUUGUCUUGAGAAAACAAUGCCUGCCACUUGUGACCAGGGAUUGCAAAAAGGAUUUGGUCCUUCAAGAUCGAGUUGCCAUCGUCCACAACAACUGAGAAGAUCUCAGUAAUCAACAACCAUGAUGACACCAACAAGCCAAACAGAGAAAUGGACACUGGCAUCCAGGCUCAAACACGAUCUCAACAAUGUUGCGUAAACAGAUAGAUAUAUCUGGAUUCGAGAUUACAGGCAGAACAACCAUGUCAGCAGAAAACGAACAACGAGUCUAAAUGCUGCGACCAUAUUUAACACCAAUUAUCUGGGAUUCCAAACACAAACUAUAUGGCAUUUGUCAAACCCUCACUCAGAGGAUGCAAACAUAUAAAGCCUAUGUAUCAAUUAUUGAACUACUAACUCAAUCCUUGAGUAGUAACAGCCUCACAAGCUUGAAUCUCCUGGUAUCGAUUUGUGCCAUCAGCGAGCCUGAGACGAGGACGGAGGUGAAGCAGGGAACUAGCUCACGAACAGGCACAGUAUCACAUUUCAGAUGUAGAGGUUGGCAGGUUGCAGACACUAAAGGUAGUACCCACUAAGUCCCUCUUAUCAGCAGCAGGGCCCUGAAACAAGCUAAGGUUUGACGUUACAUCUUAUUCUUUUAUAACUGUCAGCAAGGAUGUGCAUUAUUACUCUUACUCCUAGUACAGCAUCAAAAGCCAGGUUCGGAUGAACUUGCGACAUGUACCGAGUAUGUCAUACCGAUAAUAGGUUACGUUUUCUGAACGGUAAAAUCUGUGCAAAGUGAAGCAAUGAGGCCCCUCUUCAACAGCGGUGUACUGAGCUCCAAGGUGGAGGAUUCACCAUGCAGGCGCCUUUGACUUCUCCACAAGAAUGAUCCUUCCAUUCCACUCAGUCUCGUCACAUGCACGGAUUGCUGCAUCAGCAUCCUCAUCCUUCUCCAAGGAUAAGAACCCAAAGCCACGAGAAUCUCCAGUUCUGUAAGGAAUGAAAACAGUAGUGAGUAACUUCACUCUAAAAGUGACAUAAGAGUACAAAGGCAAAAUGAUCGUUUCUCAAAAGUUACUGCAUGCUGCGAACUAGCUAGAUAGGGCACUGAAAACCCAGUAAAAUUUGUCAAGUUAUAACACAAUGCACAGAAGUACCAAAGCACUCAUCAAUGCAAUAGAAGCUUUCUUAUAGUUAAUCGGUAAAAAGGUAUGCCAGAUCAACUCCAAUGCUGACUGCUUCAACUUUUUAGUAGAUUUGGCAGGAUAAAAUUACCAAUUAACCUCUUGAUGUUGAGCUGUAGGUACAAUGAUCUCAAGGGAAAUGCUUAAUCAUUUAAGGAUAUUCCCAGCCAAACACUUCCCCUUUCCUCUUUUUCUCAAACACAUAGGAGAACUGCACAUCAUUGUAUUAAGAAGAGCGAAAACGUUUUACAAACGGAACACACACACUCUUACUCUAGUACAUUCGCGACACACAAAUGGGAAAGGCAACCAACAGAGGCAGGUCAUGGCAUCAAGGCACGCAGAUCUUCAUUUUCCUCUCCCACACAUUAGUUGAUCAUUUCCACCACUUUUCAGACUGCUCGGUUGCAAUUUGCUCUGAUCUAUUGACUAAAAGGUCCAUUGUUUUGUAUAAUUUCACAAAAACAGAAGCCAAGGUUGUGUUUUUAAGUUAUACACAUUUAGCCAAGAAAAAAAAUUGUUCCCAUCAUGAUUCUCUCUUUUAGAAGUCCACAUGCCGAACACUAGGUACAAGGAGCUUAGAAACAACGCAGACUUGCAUACCAAAAAGUAGAACUUAUUAUUCUAGACUUGUUUGGAAUGUUGAACCCAAACUAGAAGAAUGGUUUAAAUAACUACACUAUUUAACAUUUAAUUGUGCAACAGCUUCAUAAACCAGCAAAAAAGCAUUCCAUUCAAAUUUGCAAAAGCUUCACAAAUCACAGGGUAGCCUAGCCAAUUCCCAUGUGUGAGCAAUCCAUUUUUCUUUCAGUAAGGUGCGAUCUAUCCAAUGAUAACACUACCCUAUGAAACAACAGUAUUAGAAGUGCUGAUUGCUCAAACCAGAAGACUGGCAAGAAAGAUUGUUAAAAACAAUACCAAAGGAAAGCUGACAGGAUAUAGAAGUAAGUACCGUUUAUCGCGAACAACACGUGCACUUGUUACGCGUCCAAAUUUGCAAAAUUUCUUCUCCAAAUCUCGUUCAGUGGUGGCAUAGCUAAAUCCUGCAAUGAAGAGAUUCUUUCCAGGCUUACCCAAUCCAGUCUUCCUGUUGGCGGGUGGUGACCAAUGAUGCCUUCUUGGUGAAUUAUGGCGAUGACUUGAUGAGGGUGAUCUUCGCCUUGGUGAAUGCCUUCUGCAACAUCAAAACAAAUAGAAGAAAAUUAACUAGAAGGCAGAAAAGAUAAUGAAGUGAAUGCAAAAUAAAUAUGUCUACAAUAGAAGUACACACAAUACAUUUGUACUAUUCAAGGAUGCAUGGCCAGACAGCAUAUAAUAACAAACAUGAACAUGGUGCAAUCAUUUAAAGGAAUUUAUAAUUUCAGUAGCCUGCAAGUCACUCAUGGUAAGGAAUUACCUUGGAGAUCGUCUGUGGUGAUCUCUUCGGUGGGGAGACCUUGACCGAGAUCUAUCAUGUUCCCUUCUAUGUCUAUCAUGUCUUCUUGAAGGUGACCUUGAUCUUGACCUAUCCCUCCUUCUUGGGGAGUCCCUCCUCCUCUUUGGUGAAUCCCUCCUCCUUGGUGACUCUCUCUUCCUUGGUGAUUCCCUCCUCCUAGGUGAGUGCCUCCUCCUAGGUGAGUCUCCCCUCCUUGG
rnacentral:lncRNA from 1 species